rnacentral:lncRNA from 1 species
CAGCUUGAACCUUCUCUUGUUUUUUGUUUUUUGUUUUUUGUUUUUUGGGAGUGAUAUUAUUAAGCUUAAUAAUAUUCCAUAUUCAUUACUCAAUUUCCAAUGUUGGCUUUCUACUUUCAACGUUGGUUUAUUUUUUCUUUUUUUUCUUUUUUUGUUUGUUUUUGGGGUGAUAUUAUUAAGCUUAAUAAUAUCCAAUUUUGUUAAGAUCUUAUGCGACAAGAAACAAAAUCCAAUAUUUUCCAAAACUAGGAAUAAGAAACCCUAGCAUCACCAGGAGCCUUAAUGACUUUUGGCUUCUUUAAAUUGCACUACGCUGAUGGACAUUGAGAUUAACCAAAUAGAACAGCAAAGACUCCUCUUGUUGGCGAGAAGGUUUACGACUUUGAAGUUUGCAUCAUCUGAAUUCUUAGCAACCAAAGUGGUGAGAGUUGGCUUAUUUUCCUUCAGUGUUUGAUUCUCAUAUAUAUAUAUAUAUAUGCCUAUUUGUCGUCAAUUGAAAAAGAAAACUGACGUUGAAAUUUCUUUCGCACAGCCACAAGAACCCACCUUUUUGGGCCUAUGAAGAAGCUUACUGGUUGAAUUUCUUUGGAACAAUAGCAACUUUCAAUUCACUUUUGGCUGUGCUUGCGUCAGUUUUUGUUUCUUUUUUUUUUGUUUCUUUUUUGAUUUUUUUUUGAAAGCAUAAUUGGAAUGGAGAAGGGCUGGCAGGUUCAAACCUGCGUGCAUUUGCUAGAGGGUUGCUAGGCUGGCAGGCUUGAGCCUGCAUGCCCUGGGCUUGAAGUGGAAAAAUGGAGGCGUUGGCCUUGGUGUGCUACAUGGGCUCGCGCUAGGAGAAGCUGCACUGGGCCUUGGUGGGAUGUGGGCUUGAGCUGGGCAUGCUGGAGCUAGAGCGAGCAGGCCAGGAGCGACAUGGGCUCGAAGUGGAGGUAGGAAGGCGCUGGGCUGCGCAGGUUGAGACGCAAGCUGGGCCUGGCGUGACAUGGGCUGCGCACUAGGGAAUGGGCAAGCGACGAUGGGCCUUGUUGGCUGGCGUUGGGCUGCGCAAGAGGAGGUGUUGGGCUUCGUGCUAGCUGGCACUGGGCCUGCGCUGGAGCAUCUGCUGGGCCUUCGUGCUUGCUGGGCUGGAGAAGUGUGUAGACUGGGCUGCCUCCUUUAGCUUGGGUUGGUCCAAACAGCUCGAAAUAACCUCUCUCUUUUUUUUUUUUUCACUACUGCACAUAUAUACAUUUAUAUAUAUAUAUAUAUUAUAAUAGGUACUUUGAAAGAAAGUGAAGAACGUAGACGUCCUAUACCGCUUGGGUUUGAUCCAUUUCUCCAACUUGGUGAUAGCCCGCUCAAGCGCUUAGGCUUUACGUAGGAGAAGAUGACCGAAGAACGUAGACAUCCUAUACCGCUUGGGUUUGAUCCAUCUCUCCGACUUGGUGAUAACCCGCUCAAGCGAUUAGGCUCUACGUGAGUGGAAGACGAGUGAAGAACGUAGACGUCCUAUAUCGCUUGGAUUUGAUACAUCUCUCCGACUUGGUGAUAACCCACUCAAGCGCUUAGGCUCUACGUGAGUGAAAGACGAGUGAAGAACGUAGACGUCCUAUACCGCUUGGGUUUGAUCCAUCUCUCCGACUUGGUGAUAACCCGCUCAAGUGCUUAGGCUUUACGUAGUGGAGGACGAGCAAAGAAUGUAGACAUCCUAUACUCCUUGGGUUUGAUCCAUCUCUCCAAUUUGGUGAUAACCCACUCAAGCGCUUAUGCUUUACGUAGUGGAGGACGAGUAAAGAAUGUGGACGUCCUAUACCGCUUGGGUUUGAUCCAUCUCUCCGAUUUGGUGAUAACCCACUCAAGCGCUUAGGCUUCACGUAUUGGAGGACACCCAACUUGAUCGAGCGCAAAUACUUUCACCAAAGAAAUGAUCCUUAGUGAAGCAGCUCGAUGUUAAACGAAAGAUGUUAAUAUAGCCCUAACGGAGUGAAUUGGAAGUCGAAUAGUGCCAAACUAAUGAGAAACUCCAAUUUUAUUUUAUUAUGUGACUGAACUCAAAGUGGUCUCAUGAGCUGUCUACGUACCCUUCUAGGAAAAAAAGAGGUCAAGUCAUGACGUAGUUCAAUGUUUUUUUUUUCUUUUCAGUUUGUAGUUUUGGCUCAUGCAAGCGAGUGAGCAUUUGGUGCCUUGUGCAUUUUUGGCUCUUGCAGGCGAAUGAGCAUUUGGUGCCUUGUGCAGUUUAGGCAAGUGCAGGCGAACGAAGGAGCGUUUGGUGCCUUGUGCAAUUCUGGUUCAUGCAGGCAAAGGAGCAUUUUGGUGUCUUGUGCAGUUUAGGCUCGUGCAGGCGAAUGAGCACUUGGUGCACCGUGCAGUUUUGGCUUGUGCAGGCAAAUGAGCAUUUGGUGCCGUGUGCAGUUUAGGCUCGUGCAGGCGAACGAAGGAGCGUUUGGUGCCUUGUGCAGUUUUGCCUCGUGCAAGCAAAUGAGUGUUUUGGUGCCUUGUGUAAUUUAGGCUCGUGCAGGCGAACAAAGUAGCGUUUGGUGCCUUGUGCAGUUUUGGCUCGUGCAGGCAAAUGAGCAUUUGGUUCCUUGUGCAGUUUUGGCUCGUACAGGCGAACGAAUGAGCGUUUGGUGCCUUGUGCAGUUUUGGCUCGUGCAGGCAAAUGAGCAUUUGGUGCUUUGUGCAGUUUAGGCUCUUGCAGGCAAAUGAGCAUUUUGGUGCCUUAUGCAGGCGAACGAAGGAGCAGGCAAAUGAGCAUUUUGGUGCCUUAUGCAGGCGAACGAAGGAGUGUUUGGUGCCUUGUGUAGUUUUGGCUCGUGCAGGCAAAGGAAGGAGCGUUUGGUUGAAUUUGUGUCAAGCGAAGUAAGAAGUAUCCCCCUUAUGUUUUUCAACUCGGGAGGUGCUCGACACAUUAUUCUUGAAGAAUCCCUUGGGGAAGAAGUCAUGUAGCAUGAUGGGGCUAGGCGACCUUUGUUUCAAGAGUUCAUCUUUUGGAACCAUUUUGUUCCUAUUUGAUAAUUUAUUUCCUCUAUGCCUUUUAGGUGGUUGAGAAGAAUUUCUUUUGCUUAGAAAUCUUUUUGAUUGAGCGGUUCUUGGCAAAGGUGCACUCUUCUUAAGUAGCUUCCUCCGAGUGACCAAUGCCCAUCCUUCAUUAUCAUCAUCGAAUGAAUCGACACUACUUUGACUUAACACCCCAACACAUUCAUACGGAUUGAGUUGAUGGGUUUCAGAGAAUGCACCAGUGAUUGAAGUGAGGGCGAAGGUGCCGAACCAUAUAAGACAAACGAGAUCGUAGUAUGGUUAGACUCUACCACCUUGUCAAGAUCCAUUUCGUUUCUUCCUUGUUGUGCCAACUUCAUGAUGAGAUCUUUCAACACGAAGCACUUUUCCACUGGGUGACUGAUGACACGAUGGUACAUGCAGUAUUUCGGGUGGUUAAUAUGAUUCAUCUCUUCAGGGCGUUUGCACUCAGGUAACUCAAUCACCUUCUUCUCGAGUAAGUCUUCUAGCAUGCCUUCGACGUCAGAGUUUGGAAAAGGAUACUUCUUCUCCUUCAUUUCUUUUAAGGUGUGUCGUCGUGGUUCUUGAUCUUGAAUCGACUCAACCUCCCUCGCAUCUUUCUUGCCUCGAGUGGAAAUCUUUAUUGGAGUUGCAUUGAUCGUCAUUGACUCCAAGAUGCGUGUCCUCAAAGAGUCUGCCCCAUUUCUCGACGACUUGUCAUUUCGAUGAUCACUCACCAUUUCCUUUCUUCAAUCGUGGCUAGCGAUACUUAGCUCUAUGUCAUGCGCACGAGUGGUCAAUUCUUCGAAGCUAUGGGGUUUGAUCCCUUGAAGAAUGUAGAGCAGACCCCAAUGCAUACCUUGAAUGCACAUCUUUACAGCCGAUAACUCUGAGACUCGAUCUUUACAGUCGAGGCUUAAUGAACACCAAUGAUUUUUGUAGUCAACAAUAGGUUUGUCUUUUCGCUACUUUGUGCUAGUGAGCUCUAGCAUGCUAACUGAGCUGUAACACCCCGACCCCAAAUUUAACCCUUAUUUAAAUUAUUUAAUUAUUUAAGGGAAAUUACAAAUUUACCCUUGAGAUAAGGGCAUUUUGGUCAUAUUCUUAACCGGAGAGAGUUUGGGGUAGUGACUAGUAUUUUUGGAUAGGUCGUACUGAGACGAGUUCAUAGACACGUAGUGGGCUCGAAUCGGAGUUGUAACGAGAGAGAUAUGGUCAAAAGAAACCCAGUGGCACAAUCGUAAAUAUUUUGAAAUGGGAAUUUUUAUAAAAAUCUGAUUUUUCUCUCUCUCUCUCCCUCUCUCUCUCUCUCUCUCUCUCUCUCUCUCUCUCUCUCUCUCUCUCUCUCUCUCGUGGUCUCUCUCUCCUCUCUCUCGCGCGCGACGAUAGCCGGCCACGUUUUGGCCGGCCGUGCUCUCCUCCGGCCACCGAUGACGACGGGACCGGUACCAAAAUGACCGGGCCGUCGUCCUCUUCUAACCCCAGCCGGCUCCCGCCUCUAUCCGGUGCGGUUUUGCCGAAAAAUGGAGAAGAAGCGGCAGGUGUCGUCCGAACUUCUCCGCCGUCGAUAUCCCUCCUCCGGCCGCCAUUUCUGGCGAUCAAGGUAUGAAAAUUCAUCCCUUUUGCAUGCUCUAGCUGAUGGUUGGGUAGGAUUGGAUCGAUUCUUAGCGUAGCCAAUUCAAUUUUCGAAUUGAAAUUCGGCCGGUUUUGGGAUCGCAAUUUUGGCCACUUCCGGUCAGUUUUUGGGGUAGGUCCAAGAACAAAAGUGGCUCCAAAUAGGGUGUUAUACUUAGAAUAGGAGUUUGGAGCCGUGGUUUUGAGAUUUUCAAGCGAAGUUUUAUCACUUUGGUCACCCACGCACUGCCGGCGCGUGGGCACUGUAGAAAAAGUGGCAUUGUGUCUCGAUGAGAUCCUUAGGUUGUCACGAGUGCGUAGGAUUUUGCGGAUCUCAAUUCGGGCGUCGUUUGACUAUCGAACGGACGAUCGCAUAUUGUGCGUUAUCCGGGUUCGAUAGGUUGGGACCAUUGGAUGGUCCCAAAUUUAAUAUAUGUUAAUCUAGGAAAUUCUAGGAUCGUAUAGGAAUUCACGGAUUGUGAAUCGGAGCCCCGGAUGUUCCGAAUAAUAAUUUAAAGCUUAUAUUUUAUAUUAACCGUCAGAUCGUGCGAUCGUGAGCGAUCCGACCGUCCGAUCUGAACCAAACUUGCGGGACGAGUGUCCUAUACCUUGUAAAACCCAUAGGGACUUUCGGAUCGGAAAUUGGAGGUCGUGGGCUCCGCAGGUCCGUUUGACCAGGGUUAGGAUAGUUUGACCCUUGGUUGACCGUGAGUCGCCCGGAGUAAUCCCACCUGCUAGACUGUGGUGGAGGGUUACACGAUAUUAGAAUUAUAUAUAUAAUUAUAAUUAUAUAUGGUUGUACAAGGGUACAAAAGAGUCUAGAAUGUCAGUUUGGAGUGCUAUACGCACUACCUUAGGUACCUCCCCGGAUAUUAGAUUUACUACAAGUACCACCAAGUGAAAGUGAGGUCUCACGUGGCGUAGGUUAUCCGGCAUUGAGACAGGCCCCAUACGUGGCGUUGGUUGUACCAGCGUAUGGGGAGAUUAUGUGAUAUCGUGUUGAGGUCGCACGUGGCGUAGGUUAUCCGGCGUGUCGACAGACCCCAUACGUGGCGUUGGUUGUACCUGCGUAUGGGGAGAUAUGUGAUAUGAUGUGCAGGUCUCGCGUGGCGUAAGUUAUCCGGUGUUGAGAUAGGCCCCAUACGUGGCGUUGGUUGUACCGGCGUAUGGGGAGAUUAUGUGAUAUUGUGUUGAGAUCGCACGUGGCGUAGGUUAUCCGGCGUGUCGACAGACCCCAUACGUGGCGUUGGUUGUACCGGCGUAUGGGGAGAUAUGUGAUAUGAUGUGCAGGUCUCGCUUGGCGUAGGUUAUCUGGCGUUGAGACAGACCCCAUACGUGGCGUUGGUUGUACCGGCGUAUGGGGGGAUAUUAUGAUAGUGUGGCAUGGUCGCACGUGGCGUAGGUUAUCCGGCGUGUUGACAAACCCCAUACGUGGCGUUGGUUGUACCGGCGUAUGGGGAGAUUAUGUGAAAUACAGAGAAAUGAAAUAAGGUAUCGCCUAUGUGUGGAAUUGGGUUUUAUGGAAGAACUACGUGUGGCUUGAUCCCUCAAGGAGGGUACGUAGGCAGCCUAAGGUUAUUAGGUGCAGCCGCAGACUAAAUGUUAGUCAAAAUUUGUAUUUGAAUUGUUGCCUUGUUUAAGGCAUGAAUUAUUUUGUUAGGCAUGUUUGGUAGUUUGUUGAGAAUUAUUGGAAGGCCGAAGGCCGUUUAUGUGAAUUGUAUGAAAUUAUAUUGUGCAUGCUGCCGGUUAUGGAUAUUAAAUGCGUUUUUAUGCAGGUUGAAAUUUUGGGAAACGUCCAAUUUAUAGAGGAGACUCUACCAAAAUUUUGACAGGAAGUCUCGGUCUUUAGUAAGUGGACCUGCCAUCGGGAUGAUGCCAGGAAUUCCAAAGGGUUCGCCUCGGUUUUUUAAAAAUUCGGGGCGGGUCCUUUCAUGAGCGAUGAGUGCUAUAGAAGCGGUUGAGGAAUUCUCUCUCCAUUUGUUCCCAGCUGUUAAUUAACUCAGGUUCCAAGUUAAUGUACCAGUUGAAUGCAGUGCCUCAGAGUGAUCGGACAAAUUGCUUCACAAGAUAAUCGUUGGUAAUGCCAGCGCUGUUGCACAUCUCGAUGAAGUGGGCAACAUGUUGUUUAGGGUUACCUUUUCCAUCGAACUGCAUGACCUUUGGAGGUUGAUAACCCAUUGGCAUUCGAAUGUUGUCUAACCUUUUGGUGUAUGGCUUGGAAUAGAUAAAUGUAUCUUGAGAAGGCCCACCAUAUUGAGCCCUGAUGGUGUUCGUUAUCAUGUCCUGAAGUUGUGGGAUAGAUAAAGAACCCACCGAGGCGGUGUCGCCUUUUCUGUGCGACUUAUCACCCGACUCUAUUUUAUGACCCAAUCCUUUCUCGUUGGAUUCAGCUUCAUGAUGUGAUUCUUUCUUAUGCACGUCUUGGGUAGGUUCAUUAUCUUGAUGUGUCUCCCACUUGUUAAUGAAAAAAGCAAUCUGCACAUCCUUCUCUUCGACCAUCUUCGUUAGUUUUGUGACCGCUUCACUUAUAUGGGCCAGCUGUUCUUCAAUAAACAUUGCUCCCGUCACCAUGACCUGCAUAGCCAUAGAAUAAGACUCACCUACAAACGCCGAGGCAAUCUUCUUCUGUUGGUCGUUAGGCGGGGAUCCAUAGUAUGAGCCUGUGCUCGAGUUAGCGUCUGAAACAGGCGAGAGUGAGCGUUCUCUUGAAUUCUUCGAACCCGAAAAACUCUUUUCUUCGUUCCGAGAGUUUCUCUCAUCCACUCGGGCGAUAGUCUUCUUUGCCCCCAAAGAGGCCAAAUUGAUAACUGGUUCACGUCUUCGAUUCACAUCUUUCGCCUUGGCCUUUGAAGUUGCGGAUAUCGCCUUGGCCUUGCUCCGGGUGACGACCCCAGCAGAAUCUCUGCUUGAGAAGGAGGCGCUCACGCUUUUGCCUCUCGUCGCAGGAACGGAUUGAAUCUUCUUGGAAGCCAUCAUUUUUGGUGUGUUAAUUGAUUUUGGAACUGGAGAAAGAGAUGAGACGUAGAGAGAUCCCACCGGGCGUGCCAAAUUUGUAAACACGAAUUUCCUGUGACAAAUGAGACAAGAACACGUGUACAAAAUAAUAUUUGUAUUUGUGAAAUUUAGGGUUAUAAUCUCUGUAUUGAAUCCUCUGAUUCGAUCUUCAAAGUGUUUAAAGAAAAUUUGUGUUUGAUACAAGGGUCGUAGAGACUUGAUCUUGAUCAAACAGGUAACAAGAAGCUUGUUUGGUGUUUGAGAUUUUUCUAGGGUGGAGAAACCGGCAUGUAUUUGUUGUGCUUGGUGGCUCUUCCAAAGUGGAGUGAAGAAUGCAGAGAGUUUUCUAUUUCUUCUUAAUGUUAGGUUUUUAUGACCCCCUUCUUUCUUCUUGAGGUCUCCUAUUUACAGGCUUUUGUAGGAUGCUUGACCUAAAUAACUUUCCCUAUUUAAAACCUUGUUUUGUGGGAUUUUGAUUUGAUUUAAAUCAAUUCCCACAAUUUGGCAAUUUAACCAGAUUAUCCUCAAUUGAUUGACUUGAUUAAUUUUUAAUUUAAAUCAAAGUCAAUCACAGAAGAUUCUUUCCCUUAAUUUUGUCUUCAUCUUGAACUGUUUGAUGCCCUCCGUCAGAUGUCGCAACGUGUCACUUUUUGACAACUAAUUCGAUUUUGAUGGGUCACACGCUACAUGGUUGAAUUAUGAGGCCCACAAUUCAAUCCACUAAACCCUAGUUAUUUUCUUGUCCAAUGAAAUUUAUUGCGCUAAAAUUCCUUUGUCUACACAUGGAUUACAAAUAUGGAGAGAAUUUUUGAGGUUCUGGCGUGCCCAGUUGGGGAUAGAGUCCGCUUGGCUACUUUUCUGCUGAAGGGAAAUGCAUGCCACUGGUGGAAAGCUGUAACACCCCGACUCCAAAUUUAAUUCAUAUUUUAAAUUAUUUAAGUGAAUUUACGAAUUUACCUUAAUGGUAGGGGUAAAUUGGUCAUUUUCUUGCUCGGAAAGUGUUUAGGACCAUGACUGAUAUUUUUGGGUAGGUGGUACUGAGACGAAUCGGAGUUGUAACGAGGAAGUUACGAUCAAAACAUCUACAAUGGCAAAACUGUAAAUUUUUCGAAGUUGGUUUUUUAAAAACCAGAUUUUCCCUCUCUCUCUCUCUCUCUCUCUCUCCCGCGAGCAGCCCCUCCCCUUCUCUUUUUUUCUGCACAGCCGGUGGCUCCAAGAGCCACCACAGCCGCCAUCGGUCGCCACCUUCGUCGGUAUCGGUCCCAAAAGAACCAGCUCAUCAUCCUCUACAAGUCCCAGCCCUUGGCCACUCCGAUCCGCCGCCGGUGUCGCCGGAAUCUGCAGAAAUCGUGCCGAUUUUUCCAAACAUUCAAAUCGUUCUUUCUCCCUCAUUUCUUCUCCAAAUUUGUCGAGUAAGGUAUGGAUUUUCGACUAUUUUACAUUCUCUAGCUGAUGGUUGGGUAAGAUUUCCUUAAUUUGGAGCCUAGGAUAGUUGAUCUUUGAUUUGAAAUUCUGCCGAUUUUGGGAGUUUGUUUUCGGCCACUUCCGGUCACUUUUGGGGUAGGCCCAAGAACAAAAGUGACUCCAAAUAGGGUGUUAUACCUAGGAUAGAAGUCUUGGCCCGAGAUGUUGAGAUUUUCCGGUGAAGCUUUAUCGCUUUGGACACCCACACGCUGCCCGCGCUAUGGCGGCGCGUGGGUACUGUAGCAUAGGGGCAUUAUUGUCCCAAUGCGAUCUCCAGGUUGUCACGAGUGCGUAGGAUUUUGCGGAUCUCAAUUCGGACAUCGUUUGACUAUCGAAUGGAUUUUCGCAUCUUGUGCAUUAUGCGGGGUUGAUAGGUUCUGAUCGUUGGAUCGUUUCCCAAUUAAAAUAUGUUGUUCUAGGUAUUCCUAGGAUCGUGUAGGACUUCACGGAUCGUGAAUCGGAGCCUCGGAUGUUUCGAUUCAAUAACUUAAAGUUUUGCUUUUUAUAAUAACCGUCCGAUCGUGCGAUCUUAAGCGAUCUAACUGUCCAUUUUGGACCAAAUUUGCGAGACGGGUAUCUUAGACCUUGUGAAACCUUUAGGAACUUUCAGAUUGUAAAACGGAGGUCGUGGGUCCCGUGGACCCGGUUAACCUGAAUUGGGAAGUUUGACCGUCGGUUGACCGAGUGUCUCCUGAAGUUGUUCCAUCGUCCAAAUUGGGUAGUUGGACCUUAGAACGUCUCGUUCCUAGUACACUUACUAGAAACCUGGGAAAUUAGGAUGCUUAAUUUAAAAUACUCGUUCGAAACGCUUCGUAUUAAUCUCGUAUACGUAUUCUGAAUUAAGUACUCCGACCACGCAUACGCAGCAAGCGGGACCCUCUCAGGUUCAAGCAGCGUGGGACUACUUGUGAGUGGACUUUGUUUUCAAAUCUUAUGCAUGGUUUUAUUGAUGAAAGAUUUAUGCAUAAUGCUUUUAAUGAUUUAUUGAAUGUAUUAUAUUCAUGAGUUGAACUUGAUGUUUGUAUAGCUUUGGCAUAGUUGGGUAUUGAAAGUAUAUUUUAUAUGGAUUUUGGGAAAUAUUAUGCAUGAUGUUUUAAAUGGUAUUUUGGAUAUAUUAUUUAUUCAAUUGUUGAAAGUGAUAUUUUUCUAAGGCAUUGAAAAUAUAUUUUGGGUUUUGAUAUAUUUGAGUAUCUUGAGUAUGAAUAUAUGGAUUUUGAGGAUUUCUAUAUAUAUUUGGCUGUGUGUGAGGUACUUAGGUUGUUGAGAUGAGAUUGUGGAAAGUGGUGAGUAUAGAAUGUCAGUUUGGAGUGCUAUAAGCACUACCCUAUGUACCUCCCCGGAUUUGAAACUUGGAUACGGAGACUUGAGAUACUUGGAAUUGUCGGAACCCGGGGCAUCCUUGACGGGAUGUUGUUGUAGACCCUUGAUUGGGUAGUCUGUGCGUGUAGAACUGAUCACAAACGUACGGGUUUUGAGGUUAUCGACGGUACGUGCUGGCUGAUAGUUGGUCCCCCAGUUGGACGGCUCGUUCCCUAGUCACAUGGUAGAUUGAGGACUCUGCCAGGGUGACUAGUCAAACAAUCCCCUGGUUGAAUUGUUUCCCCGAUACAACUAGGUGAUGGUCAUAUUUAUAUUAUGCAUAUAUCUCUUAUAUUAUAUAUUUAUAUAUAUAUAAUUCAUUCAUUCUUGUUUUUCGGUGAGGAUACUUCCUUGCCGGUCGUACCAAUGGGUACGCUUUCGAGAGUUUAGUUAUGGGAUUUAUAAGUUUUGGAUGGUUGGUUUUGUAAAGCGUUCUUUAUGGAUUUCGGACUUGGCAUCUGAUAUUGAUUUGUUUUGAUAUAUAUAUAUAUAUAUUAUAUAUAUAUACUUGAGUAUGACGGUUUUGAGAUGCAUGGGAUUUCUUGCAUGGUUUUCUAAACGGUGGGGUUAUAUUACGUUGGGUUACACUUAACUGAAUUUAUUUUUGUCCACUCACAAUUUUCUGUUUUGCGCCCCCCAGCCAGUAGUUGACUGAGCUCCGCAGCAGAGCCGGACAGUGCGCUUCCGAGCCUUGAGCCUUCGUAGGACUUUUUCUUCAUGAUAUUUCCUUUGAACUCUGUUUUGUUGAAAUUGAAGUUCUUAGACAUGCUCUGUUAUCGCCCUGUUAGGGUUUUGAUUUGUGAGGCCGGAGGCCAUUUUGUUGAAAACUGUUUUUUCGCUUUAAAGCAUGCUGCUGGAUGGGAUUAUUUUGCAUUUUUAUGCAGGUUGAAUUUUGUUGGGUUUGUUCAAUUCACAGGGGAGAUUCUGCCAAAUUUUGGUAAAGAGUCUCGAUUUUUAGUAAGUGGGCCCGGCAUUAGGAAGAUGUCGGAACAAAGACGAGAUUUACCCCGGUUUCUGGGAAAUUCUGGGGCUGGUCCUAUCAAAAGCUGUGAAAAUAGGUUAUGAGAAUCCGGCUGCUAUAAAGUGGGAAGAAUUUCAACGGGUCUUCUCAGAGCAAUUUUACCCACAUUCCUACAGACAUGCAAAGAAGUCAGAGUUCCUAUAUCUGAAACAGGGGUCUAUGUCUGUGGUGGAGUAUGAGCACAAGUUUAAUAAGCUGUCUAGAUUUGCUCCAGAGCUGGUGGCUACUGAGGACGACAGAUGUAGACGGUUUGAGGAAGGAUUAUGUUGGAAAAUUCAGGCAGUGGUUACUGCCAACACUUAUCCAAAUAUGAGGGCUUUGGCUCAGGCAGCUGAAAGGGUGUCUAGGAAACUCAGUGGGAGUGCUGGCAGGCGCCGCAGAGAUACAUCAGGAUUCGGUGGGCCCAGUCAGGGUCCAUUAAAGAGAGGAGGAUCUAGUUCUAGUUCUGCUAGCGGUGGAUGGUCAGGAGGACGGGGAUCUAGUUCUAAUAGUGGGAGAUCCGGUUCUCUCCAGCAUGGACUCAGUAUUCAGGGCUGCAGUCUACGGCUAGCACAACCAGGGCUCCUUCCAGGUAGACUGGGUUGACAUGUUUUAACUGUGGGCAGGUUGGGCAUAUGGUGAAGGAUUGUGCUAGCUAUACUCAGGGAGGUGGACAGAGUCAAAGUAAUAGCCUGACAUGCUACUUUUGUGGGCAAGUGGGGCAUACCAAGAGAAGCUGCCCAAUUAUACUCCAGAGUGAUACAGUAGUCCAGGGGACUGGGCCCCAGCAUGGGCAGGGUAGUAUGGGCCAGAAUCAGAGUCAAAGUGGUGCUUCUUCCUCUGUAGCAGGGUCAUCUAUAGCCAGGUACCGUCAUCUUCUAAGGGCAGGAGUGGUAGGCAAUCAAAGGGUCUGCCUGGGCGUUCCACUACUCAGGCCAGAGUGUUUUCAAUGACUCAGUAGGAAGCACAUGCCACCCCGGACGUGAUUACUGGUAUGAUUCCGAUCUUUGGUUAUCUUGCACGUGUUCUAAUUGAUCUGAGGGCCACACACUCCUUCGUAGCACACAACUUUGUACCGUAUGUCAUUGUUAGACCCACACCUAUGACAGGAAGUUUUAGUAUUUCCCUACCUACAGGAGAAGUCUUGUACGCAGGCCGGGUGUUCAGAAAUUGUUUUGUCCAAGUAGACGAUGCAUGGUUGGAAGCCAACUUGAUUCCUUUAGACUUGGUGGAUUUGGAUAUUAUAUUGGAGAUGGAUUGGCUAGAGAAGCAUCAUGCAUCAAUGGGCUCUUUCCGGAAGGAAGUGACACUUCGGAGUCUAGGACAACCUAAAUUUACCUUAUGUGGGGAGCGUAGAGUUCUCCCUACUUGUCUUAUUUCUGCUAUCACAGCCAAGAGGUUACUCAAGAAGGGUUGUGAAGGAUAUUUGGCUCAUAUUAUUGAUACUCGAGAGAUCACCCUGAAUCUGGAAGAUAUCCUUGUUGUUUGUGAUUUCCCUGAUGUCUUUCUAGAUGAUCUCCUUGGUUUACCCCCUGAAAGGAAAAUCGAGUUCACUAUCGAACUUCUUCCAGACACCAACCCUAAACUCCUUAUAGGAUGGGAGUUGAAGACUCAGUUGCAGGAGUCAGUGGAUCUUGGGUUCAUCCGACCCAGUGUUUCUCCAUAGGGUGCACCGGUGUUGUUCGUGAGAAAAAAAUAUGGGACCAUGAGGUGAUGUAUUGAUUACCUGCAAUUGAAUAAGGUGACAGUACGUAACCGAUAUCCUUUGCCUCGAAUAGAUGAUUGGUUCGAUCAGUUGAACGGUGCCAAGUAUUUCUCUAAGAUUGAUCUGAGAUCAGGAUACCAUCAAUUGAGAAUCAGAGAAGAAGAUAUUCCUAAGACAGCAUUCAGAACACGGUAUGGACAUUAUGAAUUUCUGGUGAUGCCUUUUGGACUAACUAAUGCUUUAGCAGCGUUUAUGGACCUCAUGAACAGAGUGUUCCGACCAUACUUGGAUCACUUUGUGAUUGUGUUCAUAGAUGAUAUCUUGGUUUACUCCAAGACUUUGGAAAGGCAUAAGAAGCAUCUAAGGUUGGUCUUGAGGACUUUGAGGUGGAAGCAGCUUUAUGCCAAAUUUAGUAAGUGUCAGUUCUGGCUGGAUAGAGUGGUAUUCCUCGGACAUGUAAUUUCAGCUGAAGGGAUUUAUGUGGAUCCGCAGAAAGUUGAAGCUAUUGUGAAUUGGGUACAACCCACAAGUGUAACUAAAAUACGGAGUUUUCUGGGGUUGGCAGGCUACUAUCGUCGAUUUGUGGAAGGGUUCUCUUCGAUAGUAGACCUUCUCACGCGGUUGACAAGGAAAGAUGUUGCAUUUGAGCAGACGAAAGAGUGCGAACAGAGUUUUUAGGAGUUGAAAAAGCAGUUAACCACCGAGCCUGUUUUGGCUCUUCCGGAUAAUUCAGAGAACUUUGUGAUCUACAUUGAUGCAUCAUUGCAAGGUUUGGGAUGUGUUCUGAUGCAACAUUAUCGGGUGAUUGCUUAUGCAUCAAGGCAACUCAAGAAGCAUGAGCAGAAUUAUCAUGUCCAUGAUUUGGAACUUGCUGCAGUAGUAUUCGCUCUCAAGAUGUGGCGGCAUUACUUGUAUGGUGAGACGUGUCAGAUUUUUACUGAUCACAAGAGCCUCAAGUAUUUCUUCACUCAAAAUGAGCUUAAUAUGAGACAACGGCGUUGGUUGGAAUUGAUUAAGGACUAUGACUGCACGAUUGAGUAUCAUCCAGGCCGAGCUAAUGUGGUUGCAGAUGCACUAAGUAGGAAGACUACUGGAAGUUUAACUCAUCUCAGAACGGCAUAUCUUCGGUUGUUAGUGGAACUACGAAAGGAUGGAGUGGAGUUGGGAAUGACUCAACGGGGUGGAAUUUUUGCUAGCUUACAUGUGAGACCCAUUCUUGUGGAGCGGGUAAUUGUAGCCCAGUUGGGAGAUCCAACACUUUGUAGAAUAAGGGGAGAAGUGGAAAAUGGUACACGGAAGGAUUAUGCAAUAAGGGGAGAUGGAGCGUUGGUAACAGAAACUCGUCUCUGUGUACCUAAGAACGAUGACUUGAAAAGGGAAAUCGUGGAGGAAGCUCACUGUUCUACUUACACUAUGCAUCCAGGAAGUACCAAGAUGUUUCGGACCCUACGGGAAUAUUACUCAUGGCCGCAUAUGAAGGGAGACAUUACCAAGUAUGUGAGCAGAUGCUUGAUUUGUCAACAAGUGAAGGCAGAGCGACAAAAACCUUCAGGACUUAUGCAACCGCUUCCGAUUCCUGCAUGAAAGUGGGAACGUAUUACCAUGGAUUUUGUUGUCAAGCUUCCCCGUACUUCUAAGGGACAUGAUGGAAUUUGGGUGAUAGUUGAUAAACUCACCAAGUCAGCCCAUUUCCUACCCAUCAAGGAGACUUAUUCUUUGACGAAGUUGGCGAAACUCUUUGUGGAUAAGAUUGUAAGAUUACAUAGAACACCUGUGUCCAUUGUAUCGGACAGGGAUGCUCGGUUCACUUCUCGAUUCUGGAGGUGUUUGCAGGAAGCUAUGGGUACUAGGUUGCAGUUCAGCAUAGCUAUUCACCCACAGACUGAUGGGCAAUCGGAAAGGACCAUCCAGACUCUGGAGGAUAUGUUGAGGUCAUGUGUGUUGCAGAUGAAAGAUGCAUGGGAUAGUCACCUUGCCUUGGUGGAAUUUGCGUAUAACAACAGUUAUCAUGCGAGUAUUAAGAUGGCUCCUUAUGAGGCAUUGUAUGGGAGGCAGUGUAGGACUUCUAUUUGUUGGAAUGAAGUGGGUGAUAAGAAAUUGGAAAGAGUGGAUAGUAUCCGAGCAAUAACCGAGAAGGUGAAGAUGAUUAAAGAGAAGUUGAAAAUCGCACAAGACCGACAGAAGAGCUAUGCGGAUAACAGAUCCAACGAUCUUGAGUUUGCAGUUGGAGAUUGGGUAUUCCUAAAGUUAUCUCCUUGGAAGGGUGUGAUGAGAUUUGGGAAACGUGGGAAGUUAAGCCCUCGUUACAUUGGACCCUAUGAGAUCACUAAGUGCAUCGGACCUGUUGCCUAUAGGCUUGCAUUACCUGCGGAACUAUCUUGAGUCCACGACGUGUUUCAUGUAUCCAUGCUUCGGAAAUACAUGUCAGAUCCUUCUCAUGUUCUAGAAUAUCAACCUAUAGAGCUAGAAGAAGAUCUGUCGUAUGAGGAGCAGCCUGUGCAGAUCUUGGAUAGGAAAGAGCAAAUGAUGCGCUCUAGAUCUAUUCUGGUAGUUAAGGUUUUAUGGAGAAGUCAAACAGUGGAAGAAGCUACUUGGAAGCCCGAGGCGCAAAUAUGGGCCAAAUACCCUUAUCUCUUCCAUUGACAGGUAUGUGAAUUUUGGGGACGAAAUUUUUAUAAGGGGGAUAGAUUGUGACACCCUGACUCCAAAUUUAAUUGCUAUUUUAAAUUAUUUAAGUAAAUUUACAAAUUUACCCUUGGGGUAGGGGUAAAUUGGUCAUUUUCUUAUCUGGAAGGAGUUUGGGACCACGACUGGUAUUUUUAGGCAGGUUGUACUAGGACGAAUUCGUAGACACGCGGUAGGCUUGAAUCGGAUUUAUAAAGAGGAAAUGGCGAUCAAAAUACUUUCAGUGGCAAAACUGUAUAUAUUUCAAAAAGUUUGGUAAAAAUCAGAUGUGAAAUCGAGCUUGAUUCUUCUAUUGUUUCUCAUAUUAAAAUUUUGUUUGUUUGGGAAUUUACAUAUCAAUUUUAAGAUUUGCAUACAUACUUGGGUAAUGUUAUUCUGAUUUUUUUUUUCCCGAAGGUAAUGUUAUUCUGAUAGUUUGGUUAGUUUUGGUUUCUCAUGGUACAACAAUACUAUAGUUGAAGGAUUGUUAAAUAAAACCUGAAAUUGCCUUAUUUAUAUUAUAAUGCAAAAUAGGAUGAGCUAGUGUUGGUUGAGAUCCUUGAAUAAUUUGUUAUGUUUUUUUGAAAUUAGAUUUCUCAUUUCUACAAGUCAAAAUGAAAUUUGAGUGGGCAAGCUAGGCCUUGAGAGUGAGAAAUCUGAGUCAACAGCCACUACUGUUAGUGUUUUUCAUAUAUGUGUAUUCAGAUUUUGCAGAAGGAAAAUAAGUGGAAGAAGAAGCAGGAAGAAUUUAGCAGAGAAUCUGUCUGCUAUAUGUGUAGCAGCAGAGUGUUCAUUUUAUCAUAUUUUCUCUUACAACCUCACACACAUAGUGUGAGGAAUAUUUCUGUUAUGCACAGUAGCUGGAUCUCUUACAUCACAAGAUGAUCUCAGCCGUUCACUUAGGUAACCAAUGGAGAACUUACACUUGUCAAAAAACAAGGAUAAAAAGAAAAACUAAUUAAACUAACUCUUACGUCAGCUUAAGGCUUAUAAUUCAACACUCCCCUUUAAGUCUUGAGAUGAUUUAACUCCAAGCAUGCUCCUGAGAUAAUUGAAUGGAUCCUUAGCCAAAGGUUUGGUGAAAAUGUCAGCUAGUUGUUCCUUAGUAGGACAGUACACCAAGUCAAUGAUGCCUUCUUGAAGUGCAUCUUUGAUGAAGUGAUAUCUUCGAUCAAUAUGCUUUGUCUUCUGAUGGAACACAGGAUUUUUUGUAAUGGCAAUUGCAGAUGUAUUGUCACACUGCAAUGGGAUUGCUUCUGUUUGAAGUUCUCCAAAAUCUUCUAACACGAAUCUAAGCCAAAUGGCCUGAGCAGUAGCCUCAGAUGCACUUAUAUAUUCUGCCUCUGCUGUGGACAGCGCCACACAAUUCUGCUUGACUGAAGCCCAAGAGAAGACACCACUGCCAAAGGAGAAUGCAUAUCCAGAAGUGCUUUUGCUGUCAUCAAUUGAUCCUCCCCAAUCACUGUCACAGAAGCCAAUCAGCAUUGCAUUCUUCCUUUUACAUACUCUAGACCAUAGUCUAGAGUCCUUUCACAUACUUUAGCACUCGUUUAGCAGUUCCAUAGUGCUUAUUUGUGGGGCAAUGCAUGAAACGAGCAAGCAGACUAGAAGCAUACAUAAUGUCGGGUCUGGUGGCAGUUAGGUACAAGAGGCUACCUACGAUGCUUCUAUAUUGCUCUUCACUUGCUGCUCCACUUCCGUCAUCCUUAACUAGCUUUUCAGUUGCUACGAGAGGUGUAGUUACAGACUUGCACUCAUUUAGGCCAAAUUUGUUCAAUAGAGAACCUGCGUACUUCUUUUGGUGAAUGAAUAUGCUUGAAUUCGUUUGAACCACCCCCAUGCCAAGAAAGUGAUGUAGAAGGCCCAAAUCUAUCAUCUCAUAUUUCAUCAUCAUCUCUUCCUUGAAUUCAUCUAACAAUUCUUUGCAGCUCCCUGUAUACACAAUGUCAUCAACAUAAAUAGAGACAAUGAGAAUAUUUCUAUCUCCUCUUGACUUGGUAUACAAAGUAGCUUCACUUAGGCUUUUCUUAAAACCACAUUGCAUGAAGUAGGUGUCUAUCUCUCCAUACCAAGCUCUAGGUGCUUGUUUUAAACCAUAAAGAGCCUUGUGCAGCCUAUAAACUUUAUCUUCCUUGCCUUUGAUUACAUAACCCUCCGGUUGGUCUAUAUAGACCUCUUCUUGCAAUACACCAUUUAGAAACGCUGAUUUUACAUCAAGCUGGUAUAGCUUCCACUCUUUCUCAGCAGCUAAGGCAAUGAGGGUUCUAAUGGUGUCCAAUCUAGCCACAGGAGCAUAGGUUUCAUUGUAAUCCAUUCCAGGUUUCUGAGCAUAUCCUUUCGCAACUAACCUUGCCUUGUUCUUUUGAACUGAACCAUCCAAGUUUAGCUUGGUUUUGUAAACCCAUUUGACUCCAAUAUAACUGGUUUCUCAGUUGGUCUGUCAACCAAUUCCCAAGUACCAUUUUUCUCAAUCAUUUGGAGUUCAUCUUCCAUAGCUCUUAGCCAUGCCUUGUCUUGAGCUGCCUCUGCAUAUCUUUCUGGUUCAAUGAUGCAGAGAUUGCACUGUGCAAGCACAUCAUCUAACUUUCUCCACUUCAAUGGUGAGUGAUCAUAAGCUUGAGUGUUCCUUUCUUCACUACUUAUGUCACUGGAGAUAUGUUGUGAUGAUGCUUGAAAGAAUGAUGGACUCCUUUCAUAUCGGGUUUGAGUCUGAGGUGUUAGUGCAACAUUUUCAGCUCCAUCUCCUAUAUCAAAGUCAUGCUCACUUAGGCUUUCAUCAGGAAAUGGUGUCACAACUUUAUUUGAGUGCUCGGACCAGUUCCAAGACUUCUCUUCAUCAAAGAUAAUGUCUCUUGAUAAGGUGAGCUUCUUGGAGGUUGGAUCAUAGAUCCUAUAGCCUUUCUCACAGGUUGCAUAUCCUACAAACACUCCUUUCACACUCUUAGGCUCGAGUUUAUGUCUUAGUUCAUUAGGCACAUGAACAUAACAUAAAGAGCCAAAGACUUUCAGAUGAGCAAUGCCCGGCUUUCUUCCACUAUAAGCCUCAAAAGGUGUGACAUUGUUCAACGCCUUGGUAGGGCAUCUAUUCAAGAUAUAUACAGCUGUGUGUACAGCCUCUGCCCAAAGAAAAUAAGGUAUUUCCUUCUCAUGUAGAUAGACUUGGCCAUUUCAACCACUGUCCUGUUUUUCCUUUCUACCACUCCAUUUUGCUGAGGAGUAUAGACCAUUGUGAGCUGUCUUUGAAUCCCAUGAUCUUCACAAAACUUUAUGAACUCAGAAGAUAGAAAUUCUCCACCUCUGUCACUUCUCAAGCAUUUCACUUUGUGUCCAGAUUGCAACUCAGUCAUAGAUUUAAAUUUCUUGAAACAAUUGAAAGCUUCAGAUUUGUUUCUUAAGAAAUACACCCAACUCAUCCUCGUACAGUCGUCAAUGAUCAACAUGAAGUAUUUAUUUCCUGCCACAAAUUCAGUUUUCAUAGGCCCACAAAGAUCAGUGUGAAUAACUCAAGUGGAGAGAUUGCUCUUUGAGCUUGAUUCUUUGGAAAAACAUCCCUGUGUUGUUUUCCAAACUGGCAGCCUUCACACACAACAUUUUUCUCUUCCAAUUGAGGUAAUCCAUGUACCAUAUCUUUGUCUCUCAACUGUUUCAGUCCUCUAAAGUGUAGGUGUCCUAGCCUUUUGUGCCAAAUCCAUGUGCUAUGUGUAAUACUAGCCUUCAUGAGCAGUUGAUUCUCAGCUAGGAAUGACAGAGGAUAGCCUCUAUUUUUCAUCAUUUGGACUUUGAUAAUGAGGCUGUUCAUUGAGGAGCUUUCAAACACCUUGCACAUUCCAUCUCCAAACACCAAACAAUAUCCAUGCUCAUCCAUUUGUCCAACACUUAACAGAUUCUCUUUCAAACCCGGAAGAUACAUUACUUCUCUAAUGUAUUUUCUUCCUUUUGUUGUGUCAAUAACUAGUGAACCCAUGCCAGCCACAUUCACAAGAGCACCAGUUGGCAUCUGCACUUUUCCAGCCACAUUUGUCCUUAUAUCAACAAGCAAAUCCACAUUUCCUAUCAUAUGAUUGCUACAGCCACUGUCAAUAUACCAAUCCCCAUUCGGUUUUGACUCAGUGGUAGUACAGUUUGCAUAAAACAGGUUUCUAGUCACCUCCUUUUGACUUGCACAGUUUGCCUUUUGCACAGCCUUCUCUGCAAUGCACUCUCUAGCCAAGUGACCAAACCUGUCACAGUUGUAACACUUUGGCUUGCCUUUAUACCUGCAUUCUCUAAAGUGAUACUUGGAGCACACCUUGCAUUGGGGUUUUACAGCUUCUUGACCUGUAGAUGAGCUGUGAGUCUGUGCAGAAUUAUUCCAUUGAGGCUUGCCUUUCGAUUCCCAAGGUUUGCCUUUUGGAUUCCAAUUUUUCUGAGCCUUGGAUGGACCAGAAUUAGUUGCAUUUUUAUCCUGACCUCUUGAACUCACUGUGAAUGAGGCAAAAGCUUUCUCAGUUGCAUAUGCAUUGUGCAACUCAAAUCGCUGCUCUUGACUUUUCAGAAUAGCAAUUACCUCUUGCAACUCCACAGUCUCUAGACUCUUAGUGUUUUCAAUCACUAAACAAAUGGGGUCAUAAACCUUGCUAAAACUAAUCAAAACCUUUUGCACAAGCCUCUCAUUCGAGAGCACUUCACCAUAUGUUUUCAUUUGAUUAAUCAGAUCAUUCAGUCUAGUAAGAUAAGUAGACAAUGACUCACUAUCAUGCAUCCUAGUAUAUUCAAAUUCUCGUCUAAGAUUUUGAAGUUUUACCGAUCUAACAUGAUCUCCACCAUGAAAUUCUCCAUGCAAUAGCUCCCAAGCAGCUUUGGCAGAGUCUGCAUUUGCUAUUCGUGGAAAAAUCUAAUCUGAGACUGCAUUUUGGAUAAUACCCAGAGCCUUUGCAUCCUUCAUGAGGAUUGCAGCUGCUUUUUCAUCAUCUUCUUCCUCUGAAGUCUCCUCAGUUGCCUUCUUCUUCUUCUUCGAAUCUGAAACUGGAAUUCCCUUCUCUACCAGAUUCCAAAGCCCAUAUGAUUUGAAUAUGGUCACCAUCUUAAUCUUCCAAAACUCAUAAUUUUCACCAGAGAAAAUUGGAGUUCUCACAUCUGAGCUUCCAGAUCCAGCCAUGGUUGAUCUCUGAUUCUUCCAAAAACGAGUUGCUUUCAGAUUGAGAAGAAAACUCAAAUUUCCCGAUGAUAUCUUCUUAUUUCAUAGAUUGAACGCCCAGCUCUUUAGACAAUCCAACCUGGCUCUGAGGCCAUGUUAGUGUUUUUCAUAUAUGUGUAUUCAGAUUUUGCAGAAGGAAAAUAAGUGGAAGAAGAAGCAGGAAGAAUUUAGUAGAGAAUCUGUCUGCUAUAUGUGUAGCAGCAGAGUGUUCAUUUUAUCAUAUUUUCUCUUACAACCUCACACACAUAGUGUGAGGAAUAUUUCUGUUAUGCACAGUAGCUGGAUCUCUUACAUCACAAGAUGAUCUCAGCCGUUCACUUAGGUAACCAAUGGAGAACUUACACUUGUCAAAAAACAAGGAUAAAAAGAAAAACUGAUUAAACUAACUCUUAAGUCAGCUUAACGCUUAUAAUUCAACAACUACAUGGGGGUGAUCAGAUUUCUUACUGUUUGUUUAUGAACAUCAGAUUUCUUACUUUAAGCCAUGACUUUCAUAUCCAAGUUUAAUGGCUAUGGUUUAGAGUCUUCAAUGAAAUCUCAACAAUGAUAAGCCUCUGUGCACCUACUGGCUUCUACUAACGAAACUUUUUUCAACAAUAUCUUUAAGACUUACAUCUAAUUGAUCUCAAAAGAUACAUAUCCCUGCUAACAAUUCUGCCAUUCUUUAAAUUUAGCUUCACUGCUUGGGGGUUUUGUUAAACUGCCAGCAGAAUAAUCCUUGCACUCACAUUAGAGACAAGUAUGGCCUCAUUACCAAUCUUGUUGAAGGUCUUGAAUUGCCAAGAUAACAAAUAAAGAAAACUGAGAAUAAAAGAUGUUCCUUCCAUGCAUUUAGUACAUUAUAACUCAAAUUCUCUAUUUUAUAUAUUCCUUUAACACAGUAAAGAUAUUCGGGGAGAAAUCCUGUUUGUUCUAUACAAGGUAUCUAUUCUCCAACACGCAUCAGAGGUUGGUGAUGGAACUGAUUUUUUAUUUGCCUUUUGCCUCAAGCUAUUGCACUUGUCUCUAGAGGCCCUCAUGAAGACCCAAAGCGAUGAUGUCCGCUUGAAUUGUGUAGGUCAGUUUUCCACUUCUUUAAUACUUUCUUUUUUGUGCUUUAUAAGUGUGGUCCACCUUCCUUUAUUUAAAGCACAGCUCAGCAAGAUAUGACUAGCAUUUUGGUCCACUUGUUAUACCCCAUGUGUUUCUAUUUAUUUAAUUUUUCAGAGUAGGUUUUCUUUUUGGGCAAUAGGCAUAUAUAGAUAUCAAGCCUGCAAACGAACUCCCUAAUUACACCACAAUUGUUUCAUGUUGAUGGCAGACUAUAUUUUAACUGUUGAAGUUGAAGGUCCUUGCAAUUUCUUUCAUAUCAUGACAAGAUACUUUGCAUCUUGAAAUUAUUUAGAAUCAAACAAUAAAAACGUUGCAGGUCCAAGUGCUUGAGUCCAUUUUACAUGCACAUUUCCUCAUUGGCAUCAGUCCUGUCUUCUUUCAACUAACAAUUUCCAUAUUACUUGUCCAGCGUUCUUGACAGUGUUGGCUUAGACUCAGAGAGGACUUUUUGGGGCUGCAUAUGCAGUUGAUUUAAACAGCAUGAGUUCAUCCGAAGGAGAUAGCUUUGAGCAAGCAACUUAAGAUGGAAAAAAUGUGAAUCCAAUGAAUAUAUUGUUUACGGAGGCCAUCCAAGGCCCACUGCUUUCAACAGACAGCCAAGUCCAGAUCAGCACACUGGAUUUACUGUUUAAUUACAUGUCCUCCUGGGAAGGCACUUUAGGCAAAGAAACGCAAGUCCUAGCGGAAGAAAACAUUGCAGAUUAUGUAUUUGAAAUACUGAGAUUUUCAGGUUAGUAAAGUUUCAGUGCCAAAUAGAACAAUAAUAGAUGUCCUCUGCUUGAUAUUUUUAGUGCUGAUAGAGUUUCAUUUGAGUAUUGGCAAACAUCAAGAAACCAGAAACUGUGCUGUUUAAGUUAUGAGUCAACAAUUAUCAUUAUUCAGAAGUAUUUAUUGAAUUUCUACAAAUUUUUCAGUGUUCCUAGUGUAGAUAGGUUAAGCUUUUUAUUUUUGAUUUUUAUGGUCAUUAGAUGUGUUCUUGCAAAGCUUAUUUAUGACUGUAUAUUAUUAAGUAAAACCCUCAGAAACUCAAGGAUCCAGUGGUCAAAUCUUGUGUUCAGGUACUUGACAUAUUAUCAAAAGCUGAGCACGCUUUAAAACGGAGGUUUGUUGUUGGGUUUACAACUUUGGUUCCAGUACUAAAUUAUGUAGCUGACAUUCCUUUCCAUCCAGUUCAAAAUCAGACAUUAAAACUCAUUCUGAACUGCAUAUCUGAUUUCCCUGGAAUGGUAUCGUCCUCUCAUAUAACAGCACUAGUACCUGUUCUAGCAAAGAUGCUUAAAAAGCAUUUAUAAUAUGUAUAUUUAUAUUGACCUGCUCAGUCCUUGUCGCUGUCAUCAAAACUCCAUCCGUUCAUGGGAAUUUGAAUCUACAAAUUUCAAUUAAAGAAGCAAUGCAACAUGCCGUAUUAGCUUGUCUAAGUAUCUCGGAGAAGAAUCCUUGUCAAAUUUUGCACUCCUCGUUCCUACUUAAGGAUGCUUCCUUUUUCAGUACUUCAAACAUGAAAAUGAGUCGUUAUACUUCUAUCAAGUUUGUUUUAGAAUGAACACUGGCUGAUGGAUUUUCCUAAAAAAGAGAGAUAAUGCAGUUAUUUUACACAUUGCAGGCCUGCAGAAAACAGAAGUACACUGACAACAGUCAAGAUGAAAGUGCAAAAGAGCAUUAAAAAAAGGCGGUCGCCAUCCUGGACGACAUGGGAGAAGUUUGUAUCUCAUUCACUUGAUGUUAUCCGUCUCUAGUAGACUUUUGGAAGAUUAAAUUUUGGGGAUAAGAGAUUGUUAGAAGAAAUAGAAAUUUUCUUCAAAAAUUUAACAGUAACAGAGGGCUGCUAAGAAAAUCCUAUGAGUUUAAUUUUCUUUAUUGAAUCUCAAUUUCUCAUUUCAUUAAUGGCGGUGCACAAAGUGAGACACCAGUAGUUAUGUACAGGUGCUUCCCAUUUUGAUCAUUAACUGCAUUAAGAGCUUAGAACUGAAGAGACAUUACAGAAUCAAAAUACCCUUUUGUUAAAUGUAAAUGCACUUAAUAUUUUGAGUUGAUUUCAUUUCUCUGGAAGAAACUUGGAUUUUUGUUGUACCCAAAUUGACUUUAACUGUUUUGUUUCAAGUUACUUUCAUUGUCAAAAACUUAUGCGCAGAACAUGAUAUAUAACAAUGAUAUAGCUGAUCCAACACUUCAUUAAUAACCAGGCUUAUAAGGAAUGAAUGAAUUAUAUAUACUUUUCAUAAAAAUUCCUGAAAUAUUCAGUACAAAAUCAAUGAUCACUAUACACAAUUUCACCUAACAGUAACCGACCAAAAUCGAUCGUUUUGGUCGCAGAAAUUAACAUGUGGAAGUCUCUCAUGGUUUUGAAGUUAUCUUCAAUAACCACAUGUUUCUCCAUCUCUUCGAGGACAAGGCGAGCAUCUUCUCUAUCCCUCUGCCGCUGCUUUUUGAUGAACUCAUUGGCUCUCAUAAUUUCUGCCUCUGCAUCUCCAAGCCUCUCGUUCUUGGCUUCGGUGGUAAUUGUUGUAGUGUAGAGAGCACUGUUAUGUUCUGCCUUAAGGAUUGUGUUGGCAAACCGAGUCUUCAACAUUGCAACCCUAGCAGCCCUUCUCGGAGACAGAUUGUGAUUGAUCUCUUGAUUCGAUGCAGAGGUGGCUUUGACAGGAGAGGCACGACAGAGAUGAUGGCGUAGAACUGUGACUGGUGUUUCACAGCAACUUUGGGAUUGGGAUGAAGAAACCUCACAAGAAGUUGAUGGGGUACAGGGAAGGCCAUGAUCACCACCUUCAAGUUCCUUGUUCAAACCCAAAGCACCUUCAAAUUUCCUCUUCACACCCAACCCAUAAUCAACUUUAUUUUUCUUGGAAGCCAAGCCACCAUCCACUUUCUUCUUCAAACCAUCUUCAAGUUUCCUCUUCAAGCCCAAUUUACCACCAUAACCGCUAAGACCAUGUACGUCAAUAUCGGCCAUCUUAGUUAAGAUCGUCUCCCUCUUUACCCUCUUGCUUUCUUGACCCACAAACCACGUUUCAAUGUCGGAAUCGAAGUCGGAAAGCGGUGGAAUUGGGUUUUUCAGAGGGCCGCUGACAACUUUCCUUGAAGAAGAGAAAGUUGAGGAAGACGAGAACGGGUUAGUCUUAGCAUGACCAAUCAUUACAUUCACAGAAGUCUUCGUUUUCAAUGGUUUGCACGGUUGAUUUGAGAGAAUGCUCUCAACCCAGGCUUUGGUGGUACCAGAGAAACGCAUGUUGAAUUUGAAUGAGAUAGAAGAAAGUGAGCAAGUAAGGAAUUAAGGGAGAUAGACAGAGAAAUAUAGAACCCUAACCCUAAACGCCUAUAAAGAGUGAAUCGAUGGAGAGAAUGAAUGCAAGCCAAGUGAAGUGAGUUGAUGAGAAAUGAAAACUCAAAUGAGUCUUUAAGACAUAGGGAGAGUUAAUCCUUAGUUGAUUAGAAAACCCCAGCUGUCCUAAACUCAUUACCACCGCCUCUCUCUUCUCCUCUUUUCAGUCUUUUUCAAAUAAUUUUUUUUUUCUUUCUUUUUUUGGGUCAAAGUCAAAUAUUCGUAUAAAAAAGUUUCAUUUGUUUCCCUUAUCUAAAUUUUUUUAUAAAGAUAAUCUUACAUAUAUAUAAUAAAAAAAACACUCAAAAUACUAUAGAAUGCCCUUUGUUCAUAUAAAAAUUAAAAAAUAAAAUUAUUAAUAAAAUAAGGAUAAUAUGGUAAUUUUAUUUUCAUAUUAAAAAUAAAAUAAGACAAUGAAUCCUAUUUUUAUGAAACAAAACUACCCAUUUUAUCUUUUUUAUUUCUAAAAUAAAAAAGCAAUAAGAAAGAUUGUGUGCCAAGAGUCUAGAUAAAAUUGUGGACGAACAUUUUUGAAAGAUAUUCAUUUACUUGGUUGGGCACACACAAUAACAUACAUAAAUAUGUUUAUUACAUGCUUAAUUCAUAAACAGAUUAAUCAAUUCAUAAUAAUACCUACAAAUAAGAAUAUUUAAUAUGAUUGCCUUUCAAAUUAGGGAUUGGUUCAUGAAGCGAAUGAACAUAAUUUAUGCCACAGUCCAUCUUUCUACUAUUUUCUAUCUAUUUUUUUCUUCUUUUUAUUUAUUUAUUUAUUUUUUCUGAUUUUCUCUCAUAUUUUCUCUCAUGGUCAAUGGUCCAUGGUGGAACGACCUCGUCAGCCCUGACUGCUUGGGGACUAGGGAUGUCCUUGCCUAGAAAUUAAUGUAAAGGUCAAGUCUGCCCUUGGUCACAUGAAUUAUGUUAAUUAAGUAUUCAUUUAAUUAGCUAAUUAAUGAGGCCUAAAAUAAAGUUUAUCUCCACAAAUCAAGGAAUAAUGGAAUCAUUCAAUUUCCAUGAUUUCAUCUAUCUCCUUCGAUAAAGGGAUAAUUCCUUAAAUAAUUUGGCUACAAGAUAAUUCCCCUAUCUAUAGGCAAGGAUAAUCAUUCCCCUAUCAUCAUUAGAAAUGUUGGAUAAGAUGUUUCUAUUCAAUUAAGAUGUUUCUAGGAGUUUCCAUUUAAUUUGGUGGGAUUUGAAAUAUGUCAUGAGCUAUAUACCGGUGCUUCCCAUUUUGAUCAUUAACUGUAUUAAGAGCUUAGAACUGAAGAGACAUUACAGAAUCAAAAUACCCUUUUGUUAAAUGUAAAUGCACUUGAUAUUUUGAGUUAAUUUAAUUUCUCUGGAAGAAACUUGGAUUUUUGUUGUACUCUUGUCUAACCCAAAUUGACUUUAAUUCGUUUUGUUUCAAGUUACUUUCAUUGUCAAAACUUAUGCGCAGAACAUGAUAUAUAAUGAUGAUAUAGCUGAUCCAACACUUCAUUAAUAACCAGGCUUGUAAGGAAUGAAUGAAUGAAUGAAUUAUAUAUACUUUUCAUAAAAAAUUCCUGAAAUAUUCAGUACAAAAUCAAUGAUCACUAUACACAAUUUCACCUAACAGUAAGCGACCAAAAUCGAUCGUUUUGGUCCCAGAAAUUAACAUGUUGAAGUCUCUCAUGGUUUUGAAGUUAUCAUCAAUAACCACAUGUUUCUCCAUCUCUUCGAGGGCAAGGCGAGCAGCUUCUCUAUCCCUCUGCCGCUGCUUUUUGAUGAACUCAUUGGCUCUCAAAAUUUCUGCUUCUGCAUCUCCAAGCCUCUCGUUCUUGGCUUCGGUGGUAAUUGUUGUAGUGUAGAGAGCCCUGUUAUGUUCUGCCUUAAGGAUUGUGUUGGCAAACCGAGUCUUCAACAUUGCAACCCUAGCAGCCCUUCUCGGAGACAGAUUGUGAUUGAUCUCUUGAUUCGAUGCAGAGGUGGCUUUGACAGGAGAGGCACGACAGAGAUGAUGGCGUAGAACUGUGACUGGUGUUUCACAGCAACUUUGGGAUUGGGAUGAAGAAACCUCACAAGAAGUUGAUGGGGUACAGGGAAGGCCAUGAUCACCACCUUCAAGUUCCUUGUUCAAACCCAAAGCACCUUCAAAUUUCCUCUUCACACCCAACCCAUAAUCAACUUUAUUUUUCUUGGAAGCCAAGCCACCAUCCACAUUCUUCUUCAAACCAUCUUCAAGUUUCCUCUUCAAGCCCAAUUUACCACCAUAACCGCUAAGACCGUGUACGUCAAUAUCGGCCAUCUUAGUUAAGAUCGUUUCCCUCUUUACCCUCUUGCUUUCUUGACCCACAAACCACGUUUCAAUGUCGGAAUCGAAGUCGGAAAGCGGUGGAAUUGGGUUUUUCAGAGGGCCGCUGACAACUUUCCUUGAAGAAGAGAAAGUUGAGGAAGACGAGAACGGGUUAGUCUUAGCAUGACCAAUCAUUACAUUCACAGAAGUCUUCGUUUUCAAUGGUUUGCACGGUUGAUUUGAGAGAAUGCUCUCAACCCAGGCUUUGGUGGUACCAGAGAAACGCAUGUUGAAUUUGAAUGAGAUAGAAGAAAGUGAGCAAGUAAGGAAUUAAGGGAGAUAGACAGAGAAAUAUAGAACCCUAACCCUAAACGCCUAUAGAGAGUGAAUUGAUGAAGAGAGUAAAUGCAAGCCAAGUGAAGUGAGUUGAUGAGAAAUGAAAAAUGAGUCUGUAAGACAUAGGGAGAGUUAAUCCUUAGUUGAUUAGGAAACCCAAAUGUAUAUAAUAAAUUUUUGCGUAUAACCUAACCCAAGCAACUGAAAAAACUAAAACCCCAGCUGUCCUAAACUCAUUACCACCGCCUCUCUCUUCUCCUCUUUUAAGUCUUUUUCAGAGAAUUUUUUUUUUCUUUCUUUUUUUGGGUCAAAGUCAAAUACGUUUGACAAAGUUUUUCGUAUAAAAAAAUUUCAUUUGUUUCCCUUAUCUAAAUUUUUUUAUAAAGAUAAUCUUACAUAUAUGUAAUAAAGAAAAACACUCAAAAUACCAUAGAAUGCCCUUUGUUCAUAUACAAAUUAAAAAAUAAAAUUAUUAAUGAAAUGAGGAUAAUAUAGUAAUUUUAUUUUCAUAUUAAAAAUAAAAUAAAAUAAUGAAUCCUAUUUUUAUGAAACAAAACUACCCAUUUUAUCUUUUUUAUUUCUAAAAUAAAAAAACAAUAAGAAAGAGUGUGUGCCAAGAGUCUAGUAAAAAUUGUGGACGAACAUUUUUGAAAGAUAUUCAUUCACUUGGUUGGGCACACACAAUAACAAACAUAAAUAUGUUUAUUACAUGCUUAAUUCAUAAACAGAUUAAUCAAUUCAUAAUAAUACCUACAAAUAAAAAUAUUUAAUAUGAUUGCCUUUCAAAUUAGGGACAAAUCCUAAGAAUUGGUUCAUGAAGCGAAUGAACAUAAUUUAUGCCACAGUCCAUCUUUCUACUAUUUUCUAUCUAUUUUUGUCUUCUUUUUAUUUUUUUAUUUAUUUUAUUUAUUUUCUCUCUUAUUUUCUCUCAUGGUCAAUGGUCCAUGGUGGAACGACCUCGUCAGCCUUGAUUACUUGGGGACUAGGGAUCGAUGUCCUUGCCUAGAAAUUAAUGUAAAGGUCAAGUCUGCCCUUGGUCACAUUAAUUAUGUUAAUUAAGUAUUCAUUUAAUUAGCUAAUUAAUGAGGCCUAAAGUAAAGUUUAUCUCCACAAAUCAAGGAGUAACGGAAUCAUUCAAUUUCCAUGAUUUCAUCUAUCUCCUUCGAUAAAGGGAUAAUUCCUUGAAUAAUUUGGCUACAAGAUAAUUCCCCUAUCUAUAGGCAAGGAUAAUCAUUCCCCUAUCAUCAUCAGAAAUGUUGGAUAAGAUGUUUCUAUUAAAUUAAGAUGUUUCUAGGAGUUUCCAUUUAAUUUGGUGGGAUUUGAAAUACGUCAUGAGCUAUAUAUGGAAUUGUUUUUUUACAAAAUUAGUUAAAUACCCAUUCCUAGACAUAAAACUAUAAAAAUACCCUAUACUAUUUAAUGUAUAUAAACACACCCAAAAUAAACCCAAAAAUCGACAGCUGUAUAUUUUUUAAUUUAAUUAUUAAGAUGAAAUACCUUUAUUACCUUUUUAACAUAAAAUUGGAAUUCUAAUCAACACCAGAUUAGAACUCAUUACACGACCUCCAGUCUCUCAUCUUUAUCUUCAACCCCAAUUUUCAGUUUUUGUUCUUCCACUUCAAUCUCAUCAUUGUUCUUCCACCUCAGUUUUUGUUCAAUCUCUUCAUUCUAAGCUUCGUUGGAGGGCUCGCCUGGGCCACCAACAAUGAUGCACUGGAGAAGGCCUUUCUCCAUUUGGUGAGAUCAUCGAAUCGCAGGGUCGUUCGACCUUUACUACUUGAUCUUCUGUUUCUCUAUGUUACUUGAUCUUUCUUUCCCAAAGAUUGAAGAUCGAUAGAUUCCUUUUCAUUUUUUGUUUAUUAUUGUGUAUUUGUUUGAUUAUACUCUGACGUUUUCGUUUUGACGGACGACUCUGAUUUGAUUUGGUUUCUUUUUGUGUUUCUAGAUCAUCAACGACCGUGAGACUGGGAGGUCCAGGGGCUUCGGCUUCGUCACCUUCAGCAAUGAGAACGCCAUGAGAGAUGCCCGAAGGCAUGAACGACCAGAACUUCGACGGUCGUAACAUACCGUAAAUGAGGCCUAGUCUUGUGGAAGCUAAAAUGAAAUGUUGUAAUAUGUAUGUGUCUACAUGUAUUGUAUUUUCAGCUGUGGAUAAGGAAUUUUUGGGAUUUUAGAUUUGCUGGCCAAGUUUCCUCUAAAUUCUAUAAAGAUGAAGCAGCCAUUCUGUAUGCAACCUUGGGAUUCUUCUCCAAAGAUUGUCAAGAAACUGUUCAAGGUAUGUGAAUUUCAAACUGUUGGAGGCCUGAUUUUGUUAAGUUCUUUUACAAAUAUAGGACAUCGUUCGUGAAAGAUGUCAUAUGCUCUAUCUAUUAUUGCAUUUGCUUUUUCAUAUUUAUGAGGUCUGUUUUCUUAUUCAUGAUUAUACGACCUCUAAAAGCUUGGAAUAAUUAUUUUGUGCUAGCUAAUACUGCCUAAUGGUCUCUCAUUACUCUUACCAUUCUUUUUCGUCUACGCUCUCAUUGCAUAGAUUGAAGUCAUAGGUUGUUCUUGCAGAGAUGUUAUGAGAUUUGAUUAUCAACACAUCUGUAUUCUGCAAGUUAAGUGCUAUCCAAAUUCCAAAAGGACGACCUUGGCUUUGAAAAGUGGAAAAAUUGUCUGUAUACUAUGGGUAAUGGGUUAGUUAGGUUCUGGGUCACAGUAAAAAACAAGCCAGAAACUUCAAGCAUAGAAGAGUUGAUUGCAAACCGUGCAUCAAUUUGGCAAGUAGAGCUUUGCCAUCUGUUAUGUGAAUGGGAGGGGUUCAUUUGUCCAAUACAUUCCCAUAUUCCAAUUGGGUUGUAGCUUUGUCCAAUCAAUCUCAUGGCUUCGUAGGUGGUUCCACCAUUUUAGUCCAACAAAUGAAAAAUUGAGACUUCAAUGGGUAAUCAAAACCCCAACUCUUGCUUCCCAUUUUGAUCAUUAACUGCAUUAAGAGCUUAGAACUGAAGAGACAUUACAGAAUCAAAAUACCCUUUUGUUAAAUGUAAAUGCACUUAAUAUUUUGAGUUGAUUUAAUUUCUCUGGAAGAAACUUGGAUUUUUGUUGUACUCUUGUCUAACCCAAGUUAACUUUAACUGUUUUGUUUCAAGUUACUUUCAUUGUCAAAAACUUUCAUUAUAAGGAAUGAAUGAAUGAAUGAAUUAUAUAUACUUUUCAUAAAAAUUCCUGAAAUAUUCAGUUCAAAAUCAAUGAUCACUAUACACAAUUUCACCUAACAGUAAGCGACCAAAAUCGAUUGUUUUGGUCCCAGAAAUUAACAUGUGGAAGUCUCUCAUGGUUUUGAAGUUAUCUUCAAUAACCACAUGUUUCUCCAUCUCUUCGAGGGCAAGGCGAGCAGCUUCUCUAUCCCUCUGCCGCUGCUUUUUGAUGAACUCAUUGGCUCUCAUAAUUUCUGCUUCUGCAUCUCCAAGCCUCUCGUUCUUGGUUUCGGUGGUAAUUGUUGUAGUGUAGAGAGCACUGUUAUGUUCUGCCUUAAGGAUUGUGUUGGCAAACCGAGUCUUCAACAUUGCAACCCUAGCAGCCCUUCUCGGAGACAGAUUGUGAUUGAUCUCUUGAUUCGAUGCAGAGGUGGCUAUGACAGGAGAGGCACGACAGAGAUGAUGGCGUAGAACUGUGACUGGUGUUUCACAGCAACUUUGGGAUUGGGAUGAAGAAACCUCACAAGAAGUUGAUGGGGUACAGGGAAGUUCCUUGUUCAAACCCAAAGCACCUUCAAAUUUCCUCUUCACACCCAACCCAUAAUCCACUUUAUUUUUCUUGGAAGCCAAGCCACCGUCCACUUUCUUCUUCAAACCACCUUCAAGUUUCUUCUUCAAGCCCAAUUUACCACCAUAACCGCUAAGACCAUGUUUAUUGAAACCAACAUCUACGUCAAUAUCGGCCAUCUUAGGUACGAUCGUCUCCCUCUUUACCCUCUUGCUUUCUUGACCCACAAACCACGUUUCAAUGUCGGAAUCGAAGUCGGAAAGCGGUGGAAUUGGGUUUUUCAGAGGGCCGCUGACAACUUUCCUUGAAGAAGAGAAAGUUGAGGAAGACGAGAACGGGUUAGUCUUAGCAUGACCAAUCAUUACAUUCACAGAAGUCUUCGUUUUCAAUGGUUUGCACGGUUGAUUUGAGAGAAUGCUCUCAACCCAGGCUUUGGUGGUACGAGAGAAACGCAUGUUGAAUUUGGAUGAGAUAGAAGAAAGUGAGCAAGUAAGGAAUUAAGGGAGAUAGACAGAGAAAUAUAGAACCCUAACCCUAAACGCCUAUAGAGAGUGAAUUGAUGGAGAGAGUGAAUGCAAGCCAAGUGAAGUGAGUUGAUGAGAAAUGAAAACUCAAAUGAGUCUUUAAGACAUAGGGAGAGUUAAUCCUUAGUUGAUUAGGAAACCCAAAUGUAUAUAAUAAAUUUUUGCGUAUAACCUAACCCAAGCAACUGAAAAAACUAAAACCCCAGCUGUCCUAAACUCAUUACCACCGCCUCUCUCUUCUCCUCUUUUAAGUCUUUUUCAGAUAAUUUUUUUUUUCUUUCUUUUUUUUGGGUCAAAGUCAAAUAUGUUUGACAAAGUUUUUCGUAUAAAAAAAUUUCAUUUGUUUCCCUUAUCUACAUUUUUUUAUAAAGAUAAUCUUACAUAUAUAUUUUUUUUUUUUUUAAAACACUCAAAAUACCAUAAAAUGCCCUUUGUUGAUAUAAAAAUUAAAAAAUAAAAUUAUUAAUAAAAUGAGGAUAAUAUGGUAAUUUUUUUUCAUAUUAAAAAUAAAAUAAAAUAAUGAAUCCUAUUUUUAUGAAACACAACUACCCAUUUUAUCUUUUUUAUUUAUAAAAUUAAAAAAUUAAAAAAAAAAUAAGAAAGAGUGUGUGCCAAGAGUCUAGUAAAAAUUGUGGAUGAACAUUUUUGAAAGAUAUUCAUUUACUUGGUUGGGCACACACAAUAUGUUUAUUACAUGCUUAAUUCAUAAACAGAUUAUCAUAAUAAUAGCUGCAAAUAAAAAUAUUUAAUAUGAUUGCCUUUCAAAUUAGGCACAAAUCCUAAGAAUUGGUUCAUGAAGCGAAUGAACAUAAUUUAUGCCAUAGUCCAUCUUUCUACUAUUUUCUAUCUAUUUUUGUCUUCUUUUAUUUUUCUGAUUUUCUCUCAUAUUUUCUCUCAUGGUCAAUGGUCCAUGGUGGAACGACCUAGUCAGCCCUAACUACUUGGGGACCAGGGAUGUCCUUGCCUAGAAAUUAAUGUAAAGGUCAAGUCUGCCCUUGAUCACAUUAAUUAUGUUAAUUAAGUAUUCAUUUAAUUAGCUAAUUAAUGAGGCCUAAAAUAAAGUUUAUCUCCACAAAUCAAAGAAUAAUGGAAUCAUUCAAUUUCCAUGAUUUCAUCUAUCUCCUUGGAUAAAGGGAUAAUUCUUUGAAUGAUUUGGCUACAAGAUAAUUCCCCCAUCCAUAGCCAAGGAUAAUCAUUCCCCUAUCAUCAUCAGAAAUGUUGGAUAAGAUGUUUCUAUUAAAUUAAGAUGUUUCUAGGAGUUUCCAUUUAAUUUGGUGGGAUUUGAAAUACGUCAUGAGCCAUAUAUGGAAUUGUUUUUUUUCCCUUCAACAUUGUUCAUUUUUAUAACUUUGUUCCACCCUAAUAACCACAGAGCUUAUUAAAUGCAGGGUGGUAUUACAAGCUAAAUAAAUCGACCAAGUUGAAUUAAAGUUUGGUAGAUAACUAGUGGUAAUUCUCUUCUAAUAACAAAAGUAACAUAAUCUUACAGUUCCGAUCUCUUGGACCACAGGAGUCCAAGAGAUUGUGGUCACCUACCGUAGGAUAUUAAUCCAAUGGUUCAAAAAAAUUUCUUAAAAGGAGUGCAAGAAUGAGUGAACCGUUGAAUUUACAUAUAACGGUGAAUGACCACGAAUCUCUUGGACCCCUGUAGUCCAAGAAAUCAGGACUGCAUAAUCUUAUACUCAUUCAUGUUUUCAUUACGUACGUAUGUGUUCUUUAUUUAUUUUUUUCGUUCAGUAUAUGUGAAUUAUAAUAGUUUCGAGUUUUUUAUUUAUGUGGUUUUUGAGGAAAAAACAUCAGACCUAUAUAUUUCACUUGUCCUAAAUAUUAGGCGAGUAUAAGUUAAGUUAUUAAAGUCCAAAAAAGUUCAUUUUUUAUAAAGUUUGUUACAUCCAAGCAAUAAAAAUACACAUUAAAAUAGAUACAUUUUCAAUUAUGUUGUCUAACAUAUUUUCAUUUUGAUAAUAUGUGUUCUUUAGUUGCACUUAAUAUGUUUGUUUUAUGAUAAAGUUUAUUGGAAAUUAGUAAAUGGAACUAUGAAUUAACAUGGCUCAUAUGAUUUAUGUUUAAUUUUAUUUUUUAAAGAUUAUAGAAACUGUAAGUACAAAAAAAAAAAAAAAAAAAAAGAUGAGCAGUAGAGUUUAAGUUAAUAACUUUAGAUAGCUCACCCAUUGAAACAUUCCUAGUCCUGCCAUUGCUUGUAAUUUGUUUCCAUUAUUUCUCCCAAAAAAAAAUUCCAUUAUUUAGCUUCAAAGUUAAAAUAAUCAUAAAAAUUAAGUAAUAAAUGAAAAUUGGAUUCUUAUUCAAUAACUGUAAUACAAUAGACUUUCCCAACAUUUUGGUCAUUGACUAAGUCUAUAUUAAAAGGCCCAUUAAAAAAUGCAAAACCAUAAACACAAACAGUAUAUCCUAAAGUUUUUUUUUUUUUCUUGGGUCAACGAUAGAGAAAUUUAUUAAAGAGAUAUUUAGUGAUAUACCCAUUUCUAGCACUAAUAUUAUAAAUAAACCCUACACAAUUGAAUUCCUAUAAACAAACCCAAAAAAAACCCAAAAAAUGAUAGCUGGCCUUAUUGAAUUUAAUAUUGAUUAUUAAAUUACUUUGAUGCCCUAUUGAGUGUUUUGGGUAUUUUUAUGAGAUUUUGGGGUUGGGCUUGUUUUAAGAAAUUGAUGGCAGUUUUGUAAUUUAUAAGAAGUUAAAAGCUUUUUUGUUAUGUUGUAAAUGGGCUUUGGGUGUGUUUCUAAAGUCCAUUUUAUAUAGGAUAUUUUUAUAAUUUGGGCCCCCAUAUUGGGUAUAAUAGUGAAUCUCCCUUUAUUAAAAGCGAAUAGACCAGUUAACAUCCUUGGCUAGGCAAUUAAACAGCCAUUCAAGGCAAACAUUAUCAGCUGUGCCUACCACCAAAAUGAAAACAUGGGCGACCACCAAAUGUAUUAAUUCGGUCCUACAAUACCCCCAAUUGUUUUCUCCAAACCCCAUCAUCCGUACUCGCAUACACCGUAUAAAACUGCCAAGUAGAGUUAUGCAUGAUAUCAUGAACUCCAAUCUCAAUAAGGAAAUUCGCAUACUUAACCUAAACAACAUGCUGAGCCGCCUUCUUGAACUUACAUAAACCACCAGUUAGACCCUUAGGUGCCACCAUAUGCAUAAAAUUCAUCCCCAACUAUUUUUGUAACCACCCAUAGCGAUAUGCCUGUUUUUAGUUUCCAGCAUCACAACUAUGUCAAGGGCCUGGAGCCUAACUUGCUCCCUAAGACUUGAAACUGUAAGGGGACCUCCUAUGCCCUGACAGUUCCACACGAUGAUUUUCAUGGCGACUGUGGAGACCCAUUAAGGCUGGUCUCUACUGCCAUAUUCAGUUCUUCCUCAAAAGGCAAACACUGUCGUACCUCACCUGGUGUUCUUGACAUCUUGGGAAACACACCCUGGUCUCCAUUGUGAUAUCUUUGAUCAUAUCUAACACUUUCAUUAUUUUACUCCCACAUGCUAUCUAGACCCUUCCUCUUUAACCUACCUUCAUCCCUAUAUUGUGUGCCAACUAUCAAAGCUCACAAAUUGAAUGGGUCAGAAUUUUGGGUUAAGCUCCACUGAUUCCCCCUAUCAAUAUCCUCUCUUAACUGAGGCUCCACAAGUCACCCCUUUCCAGAACCUGCACCUGCUUCUCAACAAAAGCAUUUAAAUCCAGCCCAAAACCUACGUCCCAUUCGUCCGGCCUCUGCUCUUCCCUACUAAUGAAUACACGAUUCACACCCUAUCCAGAGUUGGAAGAAUACGUACGUAAGACAAAAGUCUGAGGGUUGUCGCCCACCUGGGGGUCUGCCCCUCUAAUAAAGACCUUAUUGUCCCACGCCUGCUCCGUAAGUUGCUUAUUCCUUUCCUCCUUUUCCUGCUAUCGGCGAAUCGAAUUCGCCAUCUUCGAAGAAUGAGUUCCAGAUUUGCAUGGUGAAGUAGCCGUGUCCUCCAGCUUAGCCUCUUGACUCCUACCACCCCUCCACGAACCAACUUGAUCAGCACGACUACCUUCUCUGCCACCCCAACAGUCUCCGCCAUUAUAUCUACCCCUAGUAAACUCACCAUUCAAAUCAUUAUUAGCACUCAUAUCAUAUGCCCGGAACUCUGGCUAUUAUGGGAUCGUCACACGGAGCCCUUAAGCUUUCGACCUCGUAGAUCAUCCUCAGCUGCCAAACCAGCAAAGGCCAAUAAAGCUUCAGAUCACGCACCACUACUCUCAUACUCCUCAUGGCGCUGUUCUAGAUAGAGAUGGCUUGGAUGACCCACACAGCCACAUACAAAGCAAUAUUCUAGAAGAAAUUCGUAUUUAAAAUCUAUCCAACAAGAACCCUCCCCUGGAAACACCACGAAGGUUCCCCGCAUCAAAGGCUGUCCCACAUCGAAUCUAAUACGGACCCUCAAAAAUCUGCCUAUGCAGUCGCCACUGAUAGUCUGGUCUACCUCCAAAAUUGUCCUAUCAGAGCUCCAAUUCAUACAUAUCCUGAAGUAUUCAUAUAUAUGAAUUAUUUUAACCGAUGUGUUCAAAGUAACAUAAAGAUCAAUAAAUGUUCGGAAAAAAAAAACAUAAAGGAUCAAGAGUGAUAAGUGAUAAUUUGGCAAACCUCAAGAACUAUUUGUAAUAAAUAAAAUAAAAUAAAAAAGUGGCCCAGCAAAGAUAAGACGUGUGUUUCAUUUUAUAAUUUCAGUAACCAAACAUCAUAUUAAAUUUAAAAUUGAAAAACAAAAAGGAAAUUAAAAAAAUAAAAGAACCCAACUGCGGAGGAGUCCAUCGCUGCAUAGUGUUGGCAGACAAAACACUACUCAACACUGCAUAGUCUUAACAGACAAAAGAAUCAACCGCUCUUUUAAAUUUCUCUUGCAAUCUAUAGGAUUCUUUAGAUUUUCGAACCCAUGAUUCUUAUCUACCAAAACAUAACUAUUCUUUGCUCUUUCAAUUCAGUCCUCCUUCUCCUUCCUUCCCCUCUAAUUACUCUUUUUGGCACAUCAUCAUCAUCUCUGUAAUCUGCCAUUCUCUCUCUCUCUCUCUCUCUCUCUCUCUCUCUCUCUCUCUCUCUCUCUUGUUUGUUUCAUUCACUCGAGAACUUGCAAACUUUUGCAAUAUCAUUUUAUUUCUUGAAAUUCUUCUACUCUUCAAUUCUCAAUCUUUGGUCAAACCAAUAGCUUAAACUUGUGCAUUUUUCUGUUCUCUAAUUGUUGUUUCUUUGGGUCAAGGGUUCUAGGAUUGCUGCUGAAUUCUCAUAAUCUUAUAGAGCUUUUGCUCUAAUUCUUGUUUCAUAUUGCUGCAAUGGCUAUAACUGGACCUGGGUGGUUUUUUUUUAUAGUUGUGAUUCUUGGUCAUUGAUUAAUUCUUGGCUAUAACUGGAAUUCGGUAUGAUAAUCAUGGUCAACUGAAUAUGAAGCCAUUCUCCAUAAGGUGAUUGAUCUUCUCUCUCUCUCUCUCUCACACACACACACACACACAAAUGUGUGUGUGUGUGUGUUUUUCUAAUCUAGUCUUCCGGAUUUUAUUUCAUUACUUUAUACUUGUCACCCGUGGACUUCUUGAGGGGGAAUGCUUUUGGUUACAUUAUAUACGAUUAAUUUUACAUGUAGAAUGAAUGCAAAAUAAUUAAUUUUGAGAAUAAUGAAUUUUGUAGUCUAACACUCUGUCUUUCCUUAAUAGAAUCAUGUACUCUUUUUUUUUCUUCUAUUAGAGUUAAUUAUUUUCUAGGUUCUGCAUCACACGACUUAUAGUUGGUGAAACUUAAAUGAUAUAAACCUGCAUUUUAAAUUUCAUCUGGAAGUGAUGCUCCUUGGGCUUGGUUUGUUGUUUUGUUUAUGAACUAGUUCCGGCCCUACUAAUUUAUGGGGUCUUGCUCUUGGAACUGAUAAUUGUCAAGAAAAAGAUGGGGGGUGAAGUUCAAGUUUAGCAGUUGCAAAUCCAAUAAUGACUUCAACAAAAAAUAAUGUGACUUGAACCAUUAUAUACGAAGGUACAGUCUCAGCUUUAUAUCUUUCUCCCAUAAUAGGCUAUGUUCACACAUGAGUUUUUAACCAUUUGAAUGCACCUACGAGAAUCACUUCAUACUUGUAGAGCUUAUGCAUAAAAUUGUCUGAAACAACCGACUUCAAUUUGAUAUUUCAAUUUGAAAAAUCAUGGUAUACAGAUUCUUAUGUACUAAAUACAGAUUUUCCUGUGAAAAUCUUACUAAUACAGAUCUAAAGGAUUCACAAACCACGUAUUUUUUCAAGUUUUCCCUUUGAAUUUCAACGAAAAUCCUUUUGAACUUCUUGUUUAUAAGACAAUCAAUUCAAUUAAAGUAGUUCCCAAUAAGGAUACAUGUCAGCAGUAUGUGCUAGAAGUUAUAUGCCUGUGUUAACACACUGCCUCAUUUUCCUUCAUGGUGUAGAUCAAUGAGCAAGAAGAAAUUAUUAUAUGGUUGAUUAUGAAUGCAAAUUGGUGUAUGUAAAAUUAUUUUCUCUGUUUUUUGGGUAUGGUUCAUUGCAGAGCAUACAUGUACCAGGUCCGCAAAAGAAUUAUUGUUCCUUUUCUAUGAGAUAUAAUUUUAUAAAAAACAUUGUGAUGUACAGCCACUGUAGAAACGAUGUCUACCAGAGUGAUGCAUUAGUAAAAACUAGACAAGAAAACUGAUAAUCACCUUAUUAUAAAAGGCUCAUAUUUACCUCUGAUAAUUUUGAUAGAACACAAAUUUUAUCCUGAAUGUUCAGAAUAACAUCAAUUUUGUCUUCUAAGUUCAUAUCAUAUAGACUAGUAAAACAAACACAAAAGUGAAUUCAUAAGAUCACAAAGAGUUACAAUCUACCGGAGAAAGAAACCCGAUCUUGUAUGGAACUUAAAGCAGCCAUAAUUUUGAUUGAUUUCAAAUUUUCAACAGGAUUAAAACAAUCUGCAAUAAAGUGAAAAUUUGAAGAGAAAGUUUAAUAAUGAGGUAGAUAUGCAGCAGCACCUGUUCUAGAUCAGUAGAAGGAUGUCAUUAAACAGAUUACUAAAAUCGUUGCUUAGACUUUCUUGUAUCAAUUGAAGAUUGUAAGUUUAUUGUUUAGAUGACUUGAAAAGUGUAACUGAUGUAUGAUGAUUACAAUACAUCUUUUCCCACCAAUACGAAGCAAUUUUGCUUCUGCCUGCAUUAAUUUCUCUGCAUAUCACUUUAUUUUUAUUCACAUCCAACCAUUUAGAGUGUUUUCUUUUCAUUUCUAGUUUCUACUUUGGUUUUCUGUUUCCUCAGAUGGUAGGUUUUUUUUCUUUAAAGGAGUCACUCACUUUGGCCCUGCUGGAAAUUGAGACUGGUCUAAUUGUAUCUGAAGAUUAGCGUAACAAGUAAAAAUAGAAACAACCGUGCACUUUUUAAUAUUUAUUGUUAUUACAUUCAACUUAUCUUUAGCGUGCUUAAUUAUGUCUUCGGGAUGAUGCUUUAGCUGAUUUAGCCAUCUGAUAAUCAGGAUGAGGAAUGGCAAAUUUACUCUUGAUUCUGCAGAAAAAUAUGUCUGCGAGUACUUUUCAAUCUGGACAAUAUUGUCAGGCUCAAUCUUCAUGUCACGCUUGUAAGCCCUAUGGAAAUGAAUUGCAUAGUGUAAUCUGCACUUAAUCUCUAGUUGAAUUGAAAAGAGGAAAUAAUCUCUUCGGUUUUCUAAUAAUUGAUUUUGAGGAGAUCAAUACUCAAAUGCUCCUUUCUUGUAGUGUACUAAUUCUUAUGUUUUGUGCAGUUCAUCUCAUCAUUAAUUUUGUUCUAAAUUUCUUGCAGAUCUUUACACAAAGAAGAUGUUUCAGCUGCUGUGGUCUACUUAUUCUACAAUAAGACACGUCUCUCUUUUUGGGAAUGAAUGAGGAUGAAGCCACAACUUGUAAGCUUCUAUUUUCACAAAUUGUAUGUGUUACUAGAUUGCUCUGUCUUAAGGUUCUUUUCAAAGAUAAAAAAAUAACAAAGUAAAAUAAAAAUCUUAAUUCUUGUCCAGAUAGAAAUCAAGCUUAUUGCUGCACAACUAAAAAAAAAAAUGAAAACAUUUUUCUUUCUUUUCUUUUCUUUUUUUCUCUAUUAGGAAAGUUAGUUGAUAUAUCAUUGUACUCUGUUGAUGUGUAGGAAAUGUCUUUGAAGCUAUGAGCGUCUUUGGAGGUUCAAGUCUACUCGUUGUGAAGCAUUUAGAGCCUAUUCCGAUAUUUUAAAGCUAGCAGGACAGUUAGCAUACUGAAGUUCACAACGUAAAAAGAUAUCAAGAAUUACAAACCAGUUGGAACUUGGAAGUCACUAAGCAAGCCUAGAGCCUAGAUCUAUGGUUGUAAAAGGAUCAAAGGCAGUUGCAGACUUGGCUCUAGUCUAAUACAAAUAUUCUUACCUAAUCAUACUGUCUUGAUGAGCCUAAGUUGUCGUAAUGGCAGAUAAAAAGCCGUGUUUUGGUGGGUUUGGGUGCUCUGUACUUAUUGCUGGUGAUAUUAAAACACCAUGAAUAAAAAAUGCACUACCUAUGAAUAAGAAAAUUUUGGUGUAAAAAUGUUGUAGAAGACAUUUAGGAACCUUGAUUAACUACGCUGUUCCAUUGCUUUUUUAUAUUCCCUCUGAAAACAAUUCCUUUGGCUAGAAAGGUUGCUGGGUAUGUGUUUUAUGUACAAAAAAUUGUAUAUGAAGACUUGUCUAUUAAAUGCAUACUUGCUGCUUUCAUAUAAAAUUUUCUGUCAUGUGUUAAAAAAAUCUUGAGAUUUAGUUGUCAUAUGGAGACGUACUACAGCAACGUUGGAUUGCGGAAGCUGCUUCUCAAAUGCUUACUGUAAAGAAGCGGCGGAUGUUCCCAGUAAUUUGCAGAGCUUGACAGAAUAUGGAUACCAUCUAGGGUAUUGAUGGAGACUUUAACAAACUGAAGCUGCGGAUUCUCUUCCCCAGUUUUACUACUUUUUAUUGAUAAUGCUCUGUAUUUUACCCUGUGCAAAGUAUAUGUUCGUUGAUUACCUGGUACCUUGAAAUGAAAAAUUAUUGCAAAAACCAAGUGUAUACAACGCCUCUCUUGUAGUCAUUCAUCGUUCAUAGAAUGAAUUUUGAGCUCUCGAUCACAUGAUUAGUUAUUGUGAGAAUGAUGUGACGAACUUGCACGGCGAUCUACCAUUGAAGGAACUUUGAGCUCUUAGAGGAAAUUGCGAGCAUUCCAUAUAAGAUUAAAGAACCCUGGACCUACUGGCAGUUUGGUGAGGGCUUUGACUUAGUCUUUUAUAAGGAAUUUUGUAGAAUUUGUACGCCAAGAAAGAAAAGUUCCCUGUUCAAAUAGAAACCCUUCUUUUUGUUUUUGUUGUUUUGUCUGUUCUUUCUAUGCGCCAUCUUGAACCCUUCAACAGCUUCAAGUUCCUUUUUUUUUCUUUCACCAAAUUCUUCAAACUCUCAUUAAGCAAUCUCCUCCACCCGGGAAGAAUUUCCACCUCAACCAAGAUUUGGCCAUAAAAUUACCCAUUUACGCCUAACACAAAUGCCAAAUCCAACACAAAUCAAACGGAGAGGAAACCCCCUCCUCGUAGAUUAGAUUAAUUUAUUCGCUUGUUAAAAAAAAAAAAGACACAAAUGCCAAUCCCUCUGUAACUUGUUGAUCUGAUAUACAUAGCAAAGGUCGGCAUGUUUUGGUUUCGACGACUGGCCGAAUCAACGUAUCAUAUUUGCCAGAAAAAAGAGGAACCCAUAUGCCAAGGAAACACAACCAUGCUUACAAUUAAUUUACAAAUUACAUGUAUGUCAUACAAUAUUCAUUCACAUACAUAAGGGUUUAACUUAACCUAACAUCUAACUCUUAGGAAGUUUUACAAAAAAUCAAUUUGCCCUCAUUUUCCUCUUAUAAUUUACAACAUUAACAAGAUUAUUAAGAGGCUUCGUCAACUCGUACAGCUCGGAAAUCGAGCGAUAUCUUCCUUUCUUCCUGCUUGGGCCCAAACUUGCUAGUACAUCAUCACCAUCAUCAUCUUCCACCUCAUCUGCAAAUCUUGAUGUUCUGUAUUUUGAGGAACAUACCUGAUCAUGAUCACCAUGAUGAACAGUUUUGCCAUCGCUUUCUUCUGUGGCGCUAUUGUUAUCUGAUAUUGAUCCGCUCAGUUGUAUGAGUUGCUCCGCUGCGUCCAUUUCCAGCUCUGAGAAAUCACUGCUUCCAAUUGGGUCCUGCUCCUUAUUGUUGCUGUUCAUCUUUCUCCCCUUGUUUCCACUUGCUGCUGCGGUUUCUGUUGAUUUCUCCAUGAAUAUUUUAUGUUGGUUUGUUGAUAACUUAGCUGACAAUCAAAUGAAAUGAGGUUGUAAAUAGCAGAAACUACGAAGGGAAGUUUUCACUUUAUAUACAGUACGCAGAGUCGGUUGCCAUUUUAAACUUUUAUUUUUUUAUCCUUUCAUUUUCAUUUUCAUUUAUUAAAUUUAGCUCUCUUACUCGCAAGGGGAAUGCUGCAAAAUGGACCUAAGCUAGAUUUGACUCUGGGCUGUUUUGGUUUGGCCCAAGUAGUGUGACCUCGUCUUAUUCAAAGGUGGGCUGGGCUUUGCUACAGUGCUAUGUGACACUAUGAUCAAAUCUCACUUUUCCUCUUUGGAAGUCAAAGUGACCUGCUUUUUCCCCUUGACCAAGAUUUGCGUUCUAUGUUGCCCAUUAUUGUUUUUUUUUUUUUAAUGUAAUUUUUUUGCCAAUAGUUAAGGAGGGGGAGGGCAGAAAAACUUGUAUAAAACGAAGAUGUCACUGUUUUGCUAUCUUCGGCCAAUCACAGACUGCCACGUGAAAAAGUUAUCACGCGUGGCAUAUUGUGAUUGGCUGAGGAUAGCAAAAUAAUUUUAUAUCCAUUUCAUGUAAGUGUUUCUUGCAGGACGGGGUGCAAACUCAGACACACUUUACAAUGUCAUAAUAUGCCUUGAACCCAUAACUAAUUAGGUGGAGACAAAUCUCCUUACCACUACACUAGUGGGGCACCAAUCAUUGCGAUCUACCAUUAACUCCAUUUGUUAAGCUUGAUGACAUGACAAGGGUGUUUUAGUAAUUUUGUACAAUGGGUCAUUUACCCACCAAUUUGGGUGGAUGAUCCGGCAAAGUGGAGCACCUCCAACAUGUUCUAAGAAAUAAAAACAUUUCUUAAACUUUUAAAAUAGUACAAACUCUACUCAAGCCCCUCCAGCCUCCACACCCACCCAUUCCCCUACACCCAACCCCGCCCCUCUCUUUGUGUCUCUCUCUUCCUCGUGUAAUAGCUAGCGAAAUGAGGGGCCAAAUCUAGUCACAGUGGUGUGUGGGGUAGGUAGGAGAUCUGGGUUGGCUAGGUGCAAAUUUGUGUUAGCCAGAUAGAAGAGAGGGGGUGCCAAAGCUGAUUUUGAGAAUUGCGACAUUAGAGCCUCUUCUUUGAAAAAAGUUAGCGUCUUUGUGAUAUUGGGAUGGUGGAGUCCUCUUCUCCCAAAAAUCUAUUCUUGCAACAAAUCAGAAUCGUCUAUGCAACUACAAUGGUAGCACCAUGCCCUUACCAUGAGAUCUAGAUGCUAUUAGAUGAUGACAAGAUGAUGAGAGGCAACAGAGGAGGGGAGGGGGAGGGGUGAGAUUUGGUGGAGGGUGGUGUGGUUUUGAGGGGAGAGAGUGGUGGGUCGAGAAGGGGGAGAGGGAUGAGAGAGAGUUUUUCUUUUUCUAAAACAAUGUUAUUUGAUUUUAUUUUUUUUGUUAAUUGCUUUUAAAAAGAUAUAUAAGUUUUUUAUUUUUUAAAAAGUAUUUUUUUUAAUCUUUUAAUUAUCUUAUAUGGAGGUGGACUCCACUUUGCCACAUCACUCACACUGCAUGGCCCAUGAGUACAAAUAUACUAAAACACCCCUCAUGUCAUCAAAAUUUAUAAAAUUUUGGAUAGGGUUAAAGGUAGAGGUAACGUGGAAUACCGAACCUUAGUCAAGGAGGCAAACCUAAUGUAACCGAAACCCUAAAGUAGGGGUGGGCAUUGGUUGGGUUGGGUCAAUUUUAGUUCCAAACCGAUAUAUAGCGGUUUAUGAUUUCUUGAACUCAAGACCCGUUCAUUAUUAGGCCAACCCGACCCAACCCAAACUUUUUGUGAUCGGAUUGGGCAAUUUGGUUGGAUCAACUUAAAUUGAGCCUACUUUUAAGUUUUGAUUCCAACCAAUAACCCAACCGUACAUAGCGAUUUAUGAUUUUUUGAACCUAACACCCAUUCAUAUUUUGGCCAACCCAACCCACUAUGAUUGGGUUGGGCGGUUUAACCGAGUUGACCUGAAAUUGUGCCCAGCCCUACCCUAAAGCAACCCAGAGCUUAAAUGAACGCCACCACCACCACAUAAAAAAGCGGCGUUGCGGUCACACCCUCUAUGUAUAUAGUCUUCAAGGGAAAACAAAACUUGUGAUAGAUGUGAGGAAAACAUGGUUUCCAACUAUCUAACUACACAUAGGGGUGGCAAUUUAUGACAUGACUUGAAACCCGCAUGCAAAAUAAGGUCGUCAACCCACACGAUUAAAAUUUCUAAUCAAAUUCGGGUCAACUCGUAAUGACACUUUUAAUAAACAGGUGGGUUUUGAGUCAACCCACCAACCCACGAAAUGCCUACUUAACUCGUUUACUAUUUAAUUUUAAAGUUUUAUUAAUAAUAAUAAAUAUUUGGCAUGCAUAUAUUUGCAUGUUCUAUUCUAUUCCACCGUGUACCCUAGGGCAAUCAAUGUUUAACCCACCCAAAUGAAAUCCUACCAAAAUUUUUAACUUCAAUUUUUUAAAAAAAUAGGUUUUGUGUCAAUAGGUUAUCUAACAUGUUUAUUGAUUUGUUAAACAGGUUAACUAUUUUGGACCUAACCUAACACAACUAGAACCCGACACAACCUGUUUAUUCAAUGGAUCGAGUUUGGGUUGAGCAUUCUUGACAUGAUUAUUACCCUUCGACGACAUCGAAAAAAUAUGCCAAUCCAGGAAUCAUAGGAAAGAAAACAAUUGCGUAGAUUGCAUCAAACUCAUUGAAAUACUAUGUAGAACUAAAUUUAGAAAAGAUAAGAAGUGUUAGAGAUAGGCUUAUGGAAGAUAUGAUUUGAUUGAAGACAUAACCCAAAAAAGGUGAUGAGAAAUUUCGAUCUGAUCAUAGCUCAGAAGAAAUUACCACAAAGGACUUCUUAUUCAAAAUGCCAAAGGGACUUAUUCAUUUACCCAAAAGAAAUUUCUUCCAUUUCCCUCCUCUAUUGAGUUUUCUUUGGGACUUAGAGAGGAAAGAGUUGUAACAACACAACCUAAUCUUCAAAAAUUGAUAUACUUUUACUUUCAUAUUAGCUCGAUGCCAUAUUACAAAAUAUAUUUAAGAAGGCAUGUCUUAUGUGCUCCCUUAGUUUGUCACGUUCCAGUUGAAACUUAAUAUUCCAUUAAAACUUAAUACAAUUGGAAACUAGUAACAUAUAAUAAUCCUAGCUUGGGUCACCGAUACAAACAACUAUUGUGACAUAUUUUGUCUGGAAACAUUAGACAACGUGAAAAUAAAUUAAACUAAACAACUAGGAAGAAAUAUAAAGUCAAUAAGAUUGGAUUUGGGUUAAUUUGAACUAACUAGAUCAACAUUAUGGAAUAUAUCAAUAAGCAAGAAAUCUUCAACUGAAAUUCGAUACUUGUAUGUUGAAGGCCCUAAACCCUAAACUCUAAACCCAUUCUUAGCAUUAAAAUUAUAAAUAAAACCUACACAAUUUAAUUUUUAUAAACAAACAAAAAAAAACCCCAAAAAUGGCAGCUGGCCCUAUUGAAUUUAAUUUUGAUUAUUAAAUUACUUUGGUGCCCUCAUUGAGUGUUUUGAGCUUUUUUAUGAGGUUUUUGGGUUGAGUUUGUUUUAAGAAAUCAAUGACGGUUUUGUAAUUUAAAAGAAGUUAAAAGCAUUUUUGUUAUGUUGUAAAUGGGCUUUGAGUGUGUUUUUAAAGUUCAUUUCAUAUAGGGUUUUUUUUUAAUAAUUUAGACUCUUAUAUUGGAUAUUAUAGUGAAUCUCCCUAGUCUUUUUUGUUGUUGGUUUUUUCUUUAAUUUUAUGUUUAUGUCUUUGUUUUAUUCUAUUUUAUUAAGACAUAAUUGAUUAUCUUUUUUAAAAAAAAAAAAUUUCUUUCCAAGUUGUAAUUACCAAUGCUCACUCCUAGCUUUUACAAUACAAAAAUUUAUUGGUACUGUACCUAAUAUUGUUCAUGUACCGGAGUUGUGAAAUCCCAUAUAUUUUUAAUAUGUAUACUAAUAUUUCAUGGAAAUUAAAUAUUUAAAAUUAAUAGUUUUAAUACUAUAUAUGUAUAAGUUGCAUGGCAAGCCAUGUGAAAGCUUUUGCUAUAACCUAUCAAAUCUAUUAUAUGGUUUUAACUAUGCCAAUUCACUUCAAUCUUAUUUAAUAUUUAUACACAAGCUUUUAGAAAAGUUUUUUUUAUUGCUUACUAAAGUUUAUCCUAAGUUUGACGUGUUGCUUUUUAGAGUCCUCAAAAACCACAAUAAGCAUAAGGUGGUGAAUAUUAGCACGAGGUGUAAGAACAAUAGGUAGUCUUGUAUAUAUAAAUGUAACUGAAAAGUGCUUACUAAGCACUCUCCCGAGCCAGCACCUAAGAUUAAUGGGGGUGGUAGUUUAUUUUCAAGCCAUCUAUGUAAUCUAUAAAUCCUAGGAUGUAGUCUAGAAAUCCCUAGGCUAGUCAUGUGGCACAAUAUCAAGCUUCAUCCAUAUUAUUGUGCCGACUCUAGCUUACUAUAAAUAGCCCCAUCUAGUAUUCCUUGUUUCAUAAGUUCUUCAAUUGCUUUAAGUUUCCUAAAAUCGUAGAACAAAGAAAAAAAAAGGUGAUAACUAAAGGAUAGUGAGAUUUUGGAGAAGCUCAAAGUAUUUGGACUUGCAACUGGGAGUUAUACAAUAGCUUUGGAUUUGAGGUAGGGGUUUUUCUUGGGGAGGCUUUGCAUAAAUUGAUUUAAUUAAAUAUUGUGAACACUAUAUUAUGCUUGGUAUAUUAUUUGAUUAUUAUCUUUGAUAUUGGGUGUUUACAUAUUUUCAAUUAUCAUUAUAAUUUGAUUAAUAUUGACAUGUUCAUAUGUUAUCGGUGGUGGUUGGAAUUCUUGGGUUGAUAAAGAAAUUAUGGAAAAGAGGGUAAUGGGAAGAUUCUUUUGUUAGUUGAGUCUGACGUAGGGACCAAGUUCAGGCGAGCCCGUAUGCACAGUAGAUUAGGAAAUCAGCGGUAUAAUUGUCGAUUAGGUGAUUUGGGCUUGGAGAUCAAUGGUUUAGACAAGAUGACUAGCAAAAGGGGAAUUAUGGGAUAAUUGAGAUGAAUGUUAGUUUAUAUAAUGGGACAUUCGGAAUCACAGUGGUAAAAUGCAUGUUAUGGGACGUGCAGAUUUGCUUGCCCUAUUAUAUAGAUUAACGGGUUGGGUAGAAUUGAAGUUCAUUCAUGCAUUGCAUAAAUUGUACAUUAUAAAUUUCACUAAUCACAUAAAACAUAGGACCCCUACUGAGCAUGUAAUGCUCACCCCUUAUUGAAUCUAUUGCAGGCUCUGAAUAUGAAGUUUAGUUUUUGCUGAGGAAACAAGAAGAAUGGGUUGUGGAUAGUUUUGAAUAUUUUGUUGAAAGUUUGUUACUUUCUUGCUAUUUUGCUUGUAAAAUUACAAUGUAAAUUACUUUGACUUAAAUAUAAGUUUAUGUUCAAUCUUCAUGUUUCUUGAUAUUUAAAUUUUUAGUUUUAGUAUUAAUUUUUCUUUUACCUCACACUCCCAAAACAAAAAAAACAAAAACAAAAAAACAAACAAACAAAAAAAACAAAAUUGGGGUGUAACAAGUUGGUAUCAGAGCAUUAGGUGUACAAUCCUACAGAUUAGAAGCUAUCAUUUAAGUUAUUUUUAGUUUAGAAAUUAAGAUUUAGAAGUAUAAAAACUUUUGAGUUUCUAAUAUACAUUCAUUUGUAUUUUAGAUAUUAAUAUUUUGGUCAUGAUAGAUUUUAUGGAGUCAAUAGAAAGUGACGACACUUUUGGAGGUUUCCAUGUGUGCCCAAAAGGACUUCUACCAUUAAACUUAGAAAACUAUAAUAGCAACUUGAGACAUGGCUCAAAAUUUUGCAUGAAAGAAAAGAUAAGGAGUACUGCCGUAAAGAGACAUCACUACCCUUUCCCGAUGCAGUGACAAGUAGCAAUGCAUAGUAUUUGGUCAAGGAGAGAAUUCUGGGAUGGUGCCUAUGAGAACAUACAGAAUGACAAUAUUUAUAAUUCUACAAUAGUAGAACUUUUAGAGGAAAGUGGUAAUCAGUGGCCACUAUAUAAUUACCAACCACAACAUAUCCCAAACCCUCCAAGUGAUAAUAAGGAAUUUGCUCGGGAACAUAGAAGUGAUUAUUAUCAGUUCAUAUGAAGAAAACUAGUACUGAAGAAGGAGAGUUGUAUAAAUGUUUAUAGUUGUAGAAACAAACCGUUAGGUUUUGUAAGAUAAGUUUAAGUUUUUGUAAAAUUGUGUGUACUUUUGUAAAAAUUUUGUGAAAUAUAAUAAAUAAGUGUUUUGUUUAUUCUUUCUCUUAAACUUAUAUUUUACUAUUUCAUAAUAUUGUUUUUAGAUAAUUUUCUUUUUAUUCAUCUAAAGAUGGCUGAAUCUGGAAAUGAGUUGAAUGGAAAUGCUAGAGUGAAUAUGGCUUCAGCAAUUAGAGAAAAUAGUAACCAAGAUUGCCAUCAUGAAACUGAAGAAGAUCGAGUUAUGAAGAUACAAUGACAAUUUCGUAAGAUGAAACCAACGAUAUUUAAAGGUGAACCAAAUCCUAUGGCAGCUGAAGAAUGGUUGAGGCAAAUUAAGAGAAAGAUGGAUAAUCAAAGAAUUCCGGAAGACAUUAGAGUUGUUAUUGCCUGUACCUAUCUGGAAGGACAAGCAUACCUUUGGUGGGAGUCAAUUCUGAGUAGCCGGAUACUGAAAUUACAACUUGGGAGGCAUUCGAAAGUGUUUUCUUGGAAAAAUAAUUUCGAAGUACUAUGAAAGCAAUGAAGGCAAGAGAGUUUGUUAACCUUGUCCAAGGCAACUUAACUGUUGAUCAAUAUCAAUCUAAGUUUGAAGAACUCAUGCGUUUUGCACCAUAUAUGAUCCCUAAUGAUGCAACAAAAGCAAAACGAUUUGAAGAAGGAUUGAGACCAUCAAUUUUGGAAAAGGUUGACAUUUUGAAGUUAAGCAAGUAUGCUAAUAUGGUUGAUAGAGCACAUAUAGCAGAGCAAAGACCUGAAACUAAGAGAACUUGGGAUUCAAGUAGUGGACAAAUAAAUAAACAAACAAAAUUUAAUACUCCUCAGUGUCAAUCACAAGAAAAGUUUGGACCACACUAUAUUAUUACUGUAAACAAGUGGGACAUGUAAAGAGAUUUUGUCCACAACUACAAAGAUAUCAAGGACCUCAAAUACAACAGACAUUAUAUCAUCCUCCAUAAGUAUCUUUUCAUGCUCCACCGCCACCUUAAAGUUAUACUACUUUUCAACCUCAGUCUAACUAGGCAAGGCCAGUUACUAAUCAAUUACCACAAUUUUUAGGAAGACAGUCUUCUCAAAUUAGACCAAGGGUCCCUGCAGUUGGAAAGAAAUCUGGACAAUUUACACAAGGAAGAGUAUAUGUUAUGGGAAAUAUGACAGAUCAAACUGAAUAGAAGGUAUGUUUUUGGUAUUCAACUCUUGGGCUAAAGUGUUAUUUGAUUGUGGAGUUACACACUCUUUUAUAUCCACAUCUUUUGCAUCAAUGCUUGAGUUAGACUCUGAAAAUAUGAAACCUUCUUUGUUAAUUGGAUCUCCUUUGGGUGGUAGUCUAGAAGUUGAUAAAGUAUGUAGAUCUUGCAUGAUAGAGAUGUCAGACCAUAAAAUUAUUUUUGAUUUGAUGGUAUUGGAAAUGUUGGAAUAUGAUAUUAUUUUAGGAAUGGAUUCGCUACACAGUACCAAGUUACAAUUGACCGUGGUAAAAAGAGAAUUACUAUCAAUACUCAUAAGGAAGAAACUUUUAGUUUCUUUGUGAAAAAGGAAAGCCGGAAAUAUGGUGUUGGAGAUUAUAAAUAUUUGAGUAAGAUAGCUAGAAUCGGAACUAAAGAAGUAGAACAAUCUCCAAUACAACUUAUUCCUGUGGUAAAGGAAUUUAGUGAUGUUUUUUCAGAAGAUUUGCAUGGCUUACCUCCAGAGCGCGAAGUAGAGUUUGCUAUAGAAAUAUACCUAGGUACAACACCU